rnacentral:lncRNA from 1 species
CACACUCCAUUAAUACACGAAACUGUUCAACAGUUCAGCAAAGCUGAUACUAAUAACUUCAGCUUAAACUGCGGAAAAGAGUUUUAUCUUACAACAACAGCAAGCCAUCAUCAUGGUUUGUUUGCUUCUAUCGACACGAGACACACAACAGGAUAACUAAAAAAGUAGUCGCAGCGGCUCUCAACUCGGACAUUUUUACGACAGCUAACAGCUUUCUCACUCUCUUCUCUUCUCUAGUGCUAAAUUUGUACAGUGAUCAGAGUAACAUGUUCAAACAUACUCCACCCUCUUCCUCCUCUUUACAGCUUAGUCUCUCAGAUUAGUCUUUGCCUCCUCACCUACAGAAUGUACACUCUCUCCAGUGCAACCAAGAUUUGUAUCUUAUUCAUGCCGGUACCAUUACUAGUCGAUCUUAUAGGGUUUUCAGUUGUUGGGGGGAACACGCGAGCGCAAACCUAGCCACUGUUAGCUGUACAACUGCAUAGUUCCACCCUUCAGGCGGCGGUGCAUGCUGGUUGAAGCCCCUGGCGCUUCUCUGCAUCAACAAGAGCAAGACAGACAUAUGAUUAGCAUAUGUAAGAUCUUCAUGCUGAAUCUGUACAUAUUUAUGACAAAACAUACCUCCAGCAGCAACUAGCUUCUCUACACGCGCGACUAUGUGCUUCCCAUAGGUGUACUUCUUCAGUGUAUUCAGGUGAGCUUUGAUCCUUGUAAGGAUCAUCUCUCUCUGCUGGUCAUCACAAGUCUCCAACACCUUCUGCACCACAUAGUUUGCAAACUGAUCUUUCAUCAUCACCUGCAAGGACAUAUGCAUGUAGAUCAGCAAGGUUAACAAAUAUCUGGCAUGUAGAUUCUCUUGGGAGCUUGGUAAAAAAUGUUGAAAGAACACAGACCUCAAGAGGUUCACUUUUAGUAGUAGACUCGAGCAUUUCACCAAUCAAGAUCUGCUGCUCUAUAGGGUUACCAAAAGCUAAGCACUUCUCAAUGACAUUUGAAGCAAACUUUUGCUGGCUCAUUUGCACAAUCUGCCCAAUUAACUUGUCAAUGAUAGCAGUUCUCUCAUGUGGCUUGCGAUGUUCCAGAACAUGCUGUAAAAGUUCAGCAAGCAUUGUCAAAAACAAAGUAUUGUGAAAAUGAGAACAAAAGGUUAAAAAUCUCAUAACUGAUAGUGCAAAAUCCACAUCUCAGCAUUCAUCAAUCAACAACAAACAGUAAGAAGUCAACAAAAGAUCCAAAUCCACGUGUUUACCAAUAAACAGUAAGCAUUAAGUAAGCAGAAAGAUCGGUGCAGCAGCCUACAGAUGCUACUGCCCAAACCAAAACAGAAGGCAGUCUAGUGCAGUUCGGCUUUUUAUCCAGGUUUUUUCGCUUUUGGGUGAAAAAAAUUAUUUUUGCUUGAAAAACGCGUUUUUUUUUUUGCUUUUACAAGAUGCACGACCAUGUCUCUUGGAAACUGCUUUCGCGAGAGGCACGGUUUUACUUUCGCGAGAGGUGAAAAAGGAAAAAAAUCGUUUUUUUUCUUCCACGAGAGGCACGGUUUUGCUUCGCGAGAGGCAAGGCCGUGCCUCUCGAAAGGAAAAAAAUGCGUAUUUUUUUUCAUUCGGCGAGAGGCACAACCAUGCCUCUCAGAAAAGGAAAAAUAAACGUGUUUUCUUUUUAUUUCCUUGGACGAGAGGCACGGUUUUGCUUUGGCUUGAGACAACGCCAUGCCUCUUGGAAAGAAAAAAAAUGUGUUUUCUUUUUUUCCUUCCGUGAGAGGCAUGGUUUUGCUUUCACGAGAGGCACAGCCGUGACUCUUUCGGAAAGAAAAAAAAAUGCUUCCGGUUUGGUUUUUUCGUCCGUUUUUAUUUGGUGAAAAAAAAAGUCAAAAACUAUCAAUAUGGGACCUAGUUUUGAAGAUCUCGACGCGAGAAAUUCAACGGUGAAAACGUUUCAAGAUUUGGACGCAUGGUUUAAGAGAUAAAACGUUUUGAACAAACGGAUCUACGAAAAAACAGAAAACUCCUGGGUUGUGACAAGUGGCAGACGUACAAUGCGCCGCAUGUCGCAACCUAAGAGAUAAGAAUGAUCUUUAAAAGGAGUACUCUUCAAUUAGUAAUUUCGCGAAUUGCGCCUGACAUGAACUGGGCCUCGGGCCAAAUAUGAAAGAACCGGUAUUGGGCCAUCGAAGGGUGGGGGCGUGGGCCAACAGUUUAAGGGGGUGUUUAAAAAACAGCUCGAGGGGAGUGAAUUAGCAGUCGUUGUACGGCUCCCUAAAAAAAUGCAAUCAUUGUAUGAUUUGCCUAAAAAGAAAAAAAAACAAUCAUUGCGUGACGAUCAUUUGCAGCUCGAGGGUAGCAGCACAACCCCUCAGAACAAAGCCGUGUUGGUUGGGUUGGUCACAAUCACCACAAUAUCUAAGCUCUUUCGAAAUUAAGCGUUGUGAGCGCUUCGGGGCUGGGAUGGUCAAAGCGACCACGUCUCUUUUUUUUUAGAAAAAUCACCUUGAUUUUCUUAGAAAAAUCAUGGUAUUUCAUUAGAUAAGUAGGUAUUGUUUUUUCUUGAACACACUACAGUUAAACUCACUCACAUACACGAGCAUACACUCAUCCCUAUAAAUGUAUGCACGCACAUCAUAUCCCAGUGAGUACCUCUGAGAGACUGAGCCGGCACAUCAUCUUGAAAUUGACAAAGUCUUCAGAAACACCUGCCGGCACAUCAUCUUGAGAUUGACAAAGUCUCCACAAACACCUUCAUAGUUGAUGAAAACAUCUCCUCCCACUGAACGCACAUUGCCGAAAGGUCUAGAAUAAAUCCAGGAAAAUGUGAGCACCAAUGUCAAGUAUGGGACUUCAACUCUGGUGGCAGGGGAUACCAAUGUCCUCCUAACCAUCCAAAAUUAGGUAUUGUUUACUAUUUGAGUCAACCAUCCAACUACGUGUGUCAAGCACUUGAUGUGUUACGUGUCACUUACUCCCUGAAAACCACGAAAUUUAUUUUAGAUCAGAGGGACUACUUUUUUGCGAGAGAAAAAAAGGGUUACAUGUCGCUCAUGUAUAUCUGGUACGAGGAAAAUUAAUGAUGCGGCCAACUAUAUCCACGCUUAUAAAAGUGAUGUACCAUCGUAUAGCGGCACGGUCACCGCCAGCUUGGCCCAUAACGGCCUCCUCUGUGUCAUGUGUCUGCAUGGGUGCUAUCAGUCCACCACCACGCCGCAUGCCCCGCUAGUCUCUCCAUAUUUCUCCCCUUCUCUCAUGGUGGUACACCCGAUCCAUCACCGCCUCCUCCGCACGACACAGUUGCACAAGCAUCUGACCCAUCACCUACUCCUCCGCAUCAUAUGGUUGCACGGGCGCCGCCAGUCCAUCACCACCUCCUCCGCACCACACGGUUGCACGGGCGUCCGUCCCACACCGCCUCCUCCGCACCACAAGGCUGCACGGGCUUUGCCUGUCCACCACCACACCACACACCACGCCCAUCACUCCAUCUUUGUCCCUUUCUUUUGUGCGAUUAACAUCCAACGACGACAACGCUCAGGGCAUAGAGACAACUAUAGUCUUCGGAACUUGGUCACCUUCAUCAAUACGCCAUGGCCCAUAAGGACUGCAGUACAACUCUCGAUACCUCCUUCCUCUCCCUCUGUCAUCCUUUCCUUCUUUGGCUGCCUAAUUCAAAUUCAAUCUCGAUCGCUUCGAUGCUAAACAAGUAGUAGAUUAUACCGGGAAUUUAUCUCACCGUUAAAGGUUUCAAUUUGAAAGCCUCAUGCUUUACUGCUUAAGUACCAUCUCCGUGCUUGUCGAUUAACAACGUCACGCAGUUUAUGCAUGGCAUGCUUUAUGCUGCGUCUGUUCCACAGUGCAGUGCAUAUUAGUUUUUUUAGUCAAGGAUGUCCAUUGGCCAAGUUUCUAGAAUAAACCAUCAAUAUCUAGAGUACUAAAUAAAUAAACUAUAACAAUACGUCUGGAUGUUGAUUUUUUUGAAAAACUUGGUCAAACAUUGGUAUGUUUAACUUUUCAAAACAAAGUAUGUACUAUAUUUUAGAACGGAGGAAGUAUUAAUUUGGAUAUGGUUCCAAGCCUAAGGAGCACGCAGUCUCUAACUAAACUUAAUUGGCACUAAGACAAUAAGACAAGAUGAUAACUAGGUUUUCCUAUGAAGAUAAUUUGGUUAAUUGUCACCGGGUCACUUAUAUACACAGCUGAUCAGGCCUUAUUAAUGCAUCAGUAAUGUUACAUUCAAAUGAAAACUGAGAUCCAUCACAUGUGCUAUUAUCUCUUCAUCCUUCCAUUUCAGUCUCUUCCUCUUAGAGGCUGCUAUAAACAUGCUUCAUUCCCUUUCUCGUUGUUUGUUAGUCAGUGCAAAUCAUUGCUUUUAUUUCAACUAUGUUCUUUCUAUUUUGAUUCUAACUAUGCGUAUGAAUGAUGAAUAUUGAAAACCAGAAGGCAUAUACUUUGGUGUAGUGCUGCAACUUUCAAGUAUUUCUCACUUUCACUACCUUUGUACCAUUAUUGGAGACCAUAAUUGUUGGUGUCUUGUAUUAUUUGUAUGUGACCAAGGUAAAUUACGAAAUAUUGAUUGGUUAAAUCACAAAGUUGGAUGAUUGUUGUAGAUGAAUACUAUAAUCAGAAGCCUCAGUUACACAUAUUAUAGUUUUCAAUUAGUUUUGCAGAUGAAUAUUAUCAUGUCCAUCCAGUACUAUAGUUUAACCCUACAGAGACCGGGGACAUGCUUGACGCCAACCACUACUUUGGAUAUGUUUUUGGCAGUGCUGCUAACAUAUCAUUUUUGUGAAGAACAAUAGUUGUAAAAAAGUGAGUAAUAUCCUACCAAGUAAACGAUGACGUGUCUUAGCAUCUAGACAUAUCAUGCAAUGCAAUAAAGGGUGUUCUCACCCCAAAAUUAUGAAAGCCAAAACACAGAAGGCCCAUGAAAAAAACAACAACCCCCGACCUGCAAAUAGAGAAGCAAGCAAUCUUUUCAUGAAUUAACAAUCAAACAAAUAAAAGAUAGAAAAGUAGAACGGCGCAGCAAGGUGCGCACAUGCAUCUAGUACUUACAAUUUGGAAGGAGAAGCUACGGCAUUGGGCGCCGACUGGUGACUGCCGAGGUAAUUGAAACCAUAGUCUGCUUGGCAGCCACGAGCUAGUGGGGAUUUCAUGCGGUGCGUCCAGGAGAAACAUUGAUGGGUUAGACCGCGAGGCAGGCGUGGUGAGCAAUCGCCAAAUGAUUUGAAUUUAAAAUAUAUAUAUAUCAAAGAGGCUAGUGUACUGUAUUAUGCAUCAAAAUUUCUUUAACUUCAAAUUUGAAGUAGGGGUGGUGGGGUUGUAUUAUACCGAAGCAAGUCAAAAUAGAUAAGUAUUUGUCCUCUGCUUUACCAAAACCGCAUCUUCUAGUGAUUGUCACGACCAUGCCGGCAGCAAAAGCAACGUGUUUUCUUUCUUUUGAUCUCCACCCAACAGGAAGCAUCUCAGCCUUUGCCCACCAUCUCAACGUGUUUUCUCUUUCACCGUAACAACGUCGUUAAUCCCCUCAACAAAGGGAUUGAAGGGGAUUGGAGAGGUUUGAAGAAGAUUUUGACUUGCAAGGGAUUUAAAUAUUUAAUCCCUUGCAAACCUCCCCAAACCCUGCCUAACCGAACAAGCCAUCCGUGUGUAUGCAGUUGAAACGUUUUUGUUUGUCUUCCAAAUGGCUUCACUUGCUGUCCUCCUGGGACAUGUAUAGAGUACCAGCUUUUCUAUCAGUGUGGAUGAUUUUCUAUCAUGGGGCUUACACCUGAAAUUUUAAUAGGUUGAGUGGCAUAUAUGCUUUCUUUUGCGGGUGCAUAUAUGCUUUCCAUGUUCGCACAGAUUGCAUCAUCUGUAGUGCUUGUCAUGAUCAUGCCGGCCACCGAGCGAUGCGCAUUCCUUCUUUCCACACCCACCCACCAAAAGCAUUCAUGUUCCCUUUACCACUCUUUGUACACUCACCGUCACACCCAUUUUCUUCCAGAUCCAAGGCCCAGCGACCUCCACACACACCAGUCUCCCCUGUCGUGCACCACUACUUCCUCUGCUUCACAUCCAGUCCCGCAGCCGCCGUGUUCUGUUGUUCGCCUCCACCAGGACCGAAGCAUCAAGGUGAGUGAUGAGCUCUGAUUUAGAGUUAGUUCAGAGCUUCACACAACCUGGAUCACAAUUUACAGCUCCGAUCUCCAGGUUGUUCCAGAGGUGGUGACGGGUGAGAAAGUUUGCUCCAACUCCUACUCAUGGAGGUGGUCACGGGUGCCAUGGGCAGCCUGCUCCCCAAGCUGGGCGAGCUGCUCAUGGAUGAAUACAACCUGCACAAGCGCGUCAAAAAAGAUGUUGAGUUCCUCCGGAAGGAGCUCGCGAGCAUGCACGCUGCGCUUAUCAAGGUUGGUGAGGUGCCAAGGGACCAGCUCGACAGGCAAGUCAAGCAUUGGGCCGACGAGGUCAGAGAGCUCUCCUACAACAUGGAGGAUGUCAUUGACAAGUUCCUCGUACGCGUCGAAGGUAUUCAGCAGCCUCACGACAACACCGGCAGAUUCAAGGAGCUCAAGAGCAAAAUGUUAGGCUUGUUCAAGAAAGGCAAGAAUCACCACCGGAUAGCUGACGCCAUACAGGAAAUCAAGGAGCAACUCCAGGAGGUGGCUGCUAGGCGUGAAAGGAACAAGCUGGAUGGUAUUGCUCCUAAUCCUGGCGAAGCAGUUGUCAUCGAUCCUCGUCUCCGUGCUCUGUACAUAGAAGUGACAGAGCUCGUCGGCAUCUAUGGGAAGAGGGAUCAGGACCUCAUGAGGCGUCUCUCCUUGGAGACCAACGAUGAUGCCUCUAACAAGAGACUGAAAAAGGUCUCUAUCGUUGGAUUUGGAGGGUUGGGCAAGACCACUCUUGCCAGAGCAGUAUACCAAAAGAUCAAAGGUGAUUUUGAUUGUGGGGCAUUUGUCUCCGUCGGUCGGAACCCUGACAUCAAGAAGGUUUUCAGGGAUAUCCUGAUAGAUCUCGGCAACUCUCACUCAGAUGUUGUGAUACUGGAUGCAAAUCAGCUUAUUAAAAAGCUUCAUGAAUUCCUUGAGAACAAGAGGUAUGCACUACUUACAGAAAAAAAUGUAAACUAUAUGAUAUGUUUGUUUCCUAUGCUAGCUGUACAAGUAAUAUUGUAAUAGUGUGUAAAUAUAUUGUACGUCACACGGAAGGGUUCAGAAUAAUUUUUAGGCUCACCUUACUGACCGUAUGCAGUUUGCACUAAACUGUAAACCUUAUAGGUGCUCAAUUUCAAGCCUAAGUACAUAUGUUUGAUUCUUCCCUCCUUUAUCAAAAUAAUUAGUAAGUACUUCGUGUUGCAUUUGUUACAAUGGCUGAAACUUAUUGGCUUUUGUCCAAGAAAUCCAUCUAAACAUUUUACGUUACGCCAGAGUGAGUGCAAUGACAACUGUAAGAAAUAAUACACCAAAAGGGCAACAUGAAAGGAAGGAAAAAGUAAGAUAAAUGUUACAAAUUUUUUUAAUCAAACUUAUUUCUAUCCUUCUCUUCAUUAUCACACUAUAUGUUGUAUAUUGGAUUGAUGACCAAACAUCAAGUUAAAUUGUCUCUUCACUAGCUAUCACAUUAUAUUUUCCAUGUAUGCCUUUUUUUUAGAAUCUUACUAUCAGAAAAAUAUAGACAAAAGGAUAACGCUAACUUUUUGAGUGGGUCUCCAAGAGGUUCAUUAGCUGACAUAUAUUAAAUUGGUGGGCCAAUCUGUUCUAGGGUCUUCCCAAUAUAUCUACCUGGCCAUUUUAACUUAUGUAGUUAAUUAUAUUUUAAGUAUGGUCAAUGAUCCAGCAAUUUGCUAGUUGUGUUUUAUUCCAUUGAAUCAUAAAUAUUUAUUCAUUUUGUACGACAUCAUCUGAUUGGAGGAUCAUAAUGCAUGCUUCGCGAGAUCGGAUUAUCGAGUUUAAGAUGCAUGUUUGUUACAACCUUGUUUCUGAAUAUACGCCCUUAUAGAUGUAUAGUUGCAUCAAUAUAUUCACAUGGUCAUCAGCUUUGUGAUAUGUGUCGACCUUACCCUGAUACUCUAAACUGAUGUAGGUACCUCAUCAUAAUUGAUGAUAUAUGGGAUGAAAAAUUGUGGAGCUACAUCAACCUUGCUUUCUCUAAUAGUAACAAUCUAGGCAGUCGGCUAAUCACCACAACCCGCAAUCUCGAUGUCUCCAAAUCAUGUUGCUCAUCGGCUGAUGAUUCAAUUUAUCAUAUGAAACCUCUUUCUAAAGAUGACUCCAGACGGCUCUUCUAUAAAAGAGUAUUUGCCGACGAGAAUGGAUGUCCAAAUGAAUUUGAACAAGUGUCUAAAGAUAUUUUGAUGAAAUGUGGUGGGGUACCACUAGCCAUCAUUACAAUAGCUAGUGCUUUGGCUAGAGGUCAGGAGGUGAAACCAAAGAGUGAAUGGGAUAUUCUGCUCCAAUCCCUUGGCUCUGGACUAACAGAAGAUAACAGUUUAGAGGAGAUGCGGAGAAUACUAUCUUUUAGCUAUUAUGAUCUACCUUAUCAUCUGAGAACUUGUCUAUUGUACCUAUGUAUAUAUCCAGAAGAUAGCGAGAUUGAUAGAGAUAGACUGAUAUGGAAGUGGGUGGCCGAAGGAUUUGUCCACCAUGGAGAUCAAGGGACUAGCCUGUUUUUGCUCGGAUUAAACUACUUCAACCAGCUCAUUAAUAGAAGUAUGAUCCAGCCAAUAUAUGAUGAUCUAGGUCAGGUACAUGCUUGCCGUGUACAUGAUAUGGUUCUUGAUCUUAUCUGCAACUUGUCACAUGAAGCAAAGUUUGUUAAUGUAUUGGAUGGUACUGGGGAUAGCAUGUCUUUUCAAGGCAAUAAUGUUCGUCGUUUGUCCUUUCAAGAUAGAAAUAAAGAUCAUGAAGGCACACCUCUCAGAAAUUUCACGGGUAUAUCACGAGUGAGGUCCAUUACUAUCUUUACAUCUGCUAUUAAUAUCAUGCCAUUCCUAUCAAGGUUUGAAGUUCUGCGUGUACUUGAUUUGUCGGGCUAUAAUCUGGGAAAAGGUAGCAGCCUGCAAUUUAACCUCAAGGGUGUUGGACACUUAAUUCACCUGAGGUACCUUGGUUUAGCAGAUACUGGAAUAAGAAAACUCUCGGCUGAGAUAGGAAACCUGCAAUUUUUGGAGGUUUUGGAUCUUGGAAGCAAUUAUGAGCUACAUGAAUUGCCGCCCACUCUUUUUAAAUUGAGAAGAUUAAUCUACCUAAAUGUUUAUCUCUAUAAGGUGGUUCCAACUCCUGGUGUGUUGCAGAAUCUGACAUCCAUAGAAGUGCUGAGGGGGGUCUUGGUCUCUCUGAAUAUUAUUGCACAAGAGCUUGGCAAACUGGCAAGGCUGAGGGAGCUUCAGAUUUGCCUCAAGGAUUGUAGUUUCGAUCUGUAUGAAGGUUUCGUGAAGUCUCUGUGCAACCUACGUCACAUCGAAAUCCUACAUAUUGAAUGCAAUUCCGGAGAAAUUUAUUUUGAACUGACGGAUCUCUUGGAAGAACGCUGGCUGCCUCCUGUACAUCUCCGCAGAUUUGUGUUGUACAUGCCGAGCCAACUCUCUGCACUGCGAGGGUGGAUAAAGAGAGACCCCAUGCAUCUCUCGAACCUCUCCGAGUUAUUCCUCAAUUCAGUGAAGGAAGUGCAGCAGGAUGACGUGGAUAUCAUUGGGGGCUUGCUGUCCCUUCGCCGUCUCUCCAUAUGGACCACCCACCAAACACAGCGGCUGCUAGUCAUCCGUGCAGAUGGGUUCCGCUGUAUUGUAGACUUUAACUUGAGUUGUGGAUCAGCAACGCAAAUCAUGUUUGAACCAGGGGCUUUGCCUAGGGUGGAAUCAGUUGGGUUCAGUCUUGGGGUGCGGGUGGCGAAAGAGGAUGGUAACUGUGGCUUCGACAUGGGCUUGCAGGGGAACCUGCUCUCCCUUCGGCGGCGUGUCGAUGUUAAUCUGUAUUGUGGCGGAGCGAGGGUUGGGGAGGCCAGGGCAGCGCAGUCUGCGGUGAGGCACGCGUUCGACACCCAUCCCAACCAUCUGGAGAUUGUAAUGUUUACGAAUCCGCAUAUAGCAGAAGGUACUCAUGUUGCCCCCCNNNNNNNNNNNNNNNNNNNNNNNNNNNNNNNNNNNNNNNNNNNNNNNNNNNNNNNNNNNNNNNNNNNNNNNNNNNNNNNNNNNNNNNNNNNNNNNNNNNNNNNNNNNNNNNNNNNNNNNNNNNNNNNNNNNNNNNNNNNNNNNNNNNNNNNNNNNNNNNNNNNNNNNNNNNNNNNNNNNNNNNNNNNNNNNNNNNNNNNNNNNNNNNNNNNNNNNNNNNNNNNNNNNNNNNNNNNNNNNNNNNNNNNNNNNNNNNNNNNNNNNNNNNNNNNNGAUUAAUUACUCGUGCACGUACUCCUUGGGAGUACCUAUCUAUUUUCUCAUGACCGCCUGACCUUUUUACUCUCUGCAUGGAUUUCAUCUCUAAAUCUCCCAAGGAGCUAAUGAUGAAGAUUUGUGUGAGGACGAGAUGGAUGAUAAAAGUUUGUAUCAGUGCCUGGUGGACCUGGUGGAGAACUGAUUUUCUGAUGCAGAGUAUCUUACAUUGCGUCAGAUGUGCUCUCAGUCUCAGGUAUGUAGUACGUAUUUGCCUAUUAUGUUUUCCAUCUUUCUCCAUCGUCUUGAAUAUCUCACAUUCUAUUGAUCAACCAUGCUCUACUGGCUAUAUGGAAAUUAGAAUCAGAUUAAGGUAUUUGCAAAAAUUGCUUAGGCAUAAGUCUCUAAGCAGAAACGUGAACUUGACAUAAUGUAGUGUGGAACUUGCUCAAAACUAAUUUUUGUCAAGGGGCUGAGGAAAGCUAAGGAUUAUUUGAGUGCAAUUUUGUCGAAAGAUAGUUGGUAGUGGGCAAAGAAAUAUAUUUGAGAAUAUUGAUUGAUAGGGGGUGCUGUUUUAAUUAGGUGACAAGUACUCCAAGUCAUACAUUUUUUCUUUAUUUAAGCAUAUCUCUGAAGCUAGAGUGCUGGAAUUUAGAUGGAAUCUAUUAGUUGUUGAUUAUGGCAUCGAUUACUUGCUGAUUAUGAUGGUUUUAGUAUUGGGAAUGAGCAAGAUUCAUGUAUAUGACCCCACAAAAAAAAGAUUCAUGUAAAUGGCUUUUAGAGAAGAAUGGAGUAUUUUCUGUGCAUCCUAUGUUUAUAGCUUUGAAAGCUCAACAAGUGAAAUGGCCAUAAAGAAAAUUUUGGUAUGUAAAAGUUCCGCUUAAGAUUAUAGUAUUUUUGUGGUUAGCAUUCAGAAAUAGUAUCAGCAGAGAUAAUGUGAAUCAUAGAGGUAGUGUGGUACAGGGAACUGUCUUUUUUUCAGUAGAAAAGAGGCGGUGGAUUAUAUCUUCUGUAUGUGUUUGGUUGCUUGUUAUAAUUGCUUUUUAUUUUGAUAUAGUCCUUUUAGCAUGGAGGGAUUUUGUGAUUGGGUGAUGAAUUUCAGGGGUAAAGAUAGGAAUCUGAAUUUUGCAAGGGCGGCGGCUGUUAUUUGGUCUAUUUGGAAAACAAGCAAUGAUAAUUGCUUGAAAAAUAUUUUUCCUAUAUAUGGGUCCCAGCUGUCUGUAGGUUGCAAAGUUGCAUACUGGAUGUUUGUAGCUUACAGAGAAAAGAAUUGUAUGAUGUGCAGGUAGCAGGGGCGCGGGGUUACUGCUGGUAGCAUCGGAGAUGCAUGUUUCACAAACGUUUUUGGUGGGCGCCGACUUAGCCAAGAAUUGAAGAUGUAAAAGUUUCGAGUUUCGCUGGAAGUUGUGUGAUGUGGUUCUUUUAAAUGGCAGCCGCUUGCAGAAAGAGAUAUUGCUUGGUUUUGUAAUGAAUAAGUAAGAGUGUUGUAGUGAAUUGAUCCUUACAAGGAUAGCUUGCUUUGCUUCAGUCGUUGCUGCUCUGUUUUUGUUUUUAAGCUGAACCAGACAACCUUAAGGUAUAUUAUCAGUUUCGUGAUGAAUGAAAUGGGGGAAUCCUUUUUCGGUAUUUUCUUUUCAGUAGAUGGAGGGUUCACCUGAGCUCCUUAAUUUGAAUAAAAACUGCGGCUUAUGGUUGGGAUUUUCUAUUUAAAAAAAUUAUUUACUAGUUCUACCAACAUGGGUCGUUCUCCGUGUCUUGAUGGGAUGUGCGCGGUGGGUGGAUGCCGGGGCGGCGGCCUCGGACGGCGUGGACGGCGUGGCCUCUCGACGGGCGACGGCCGUGGGAGCUGGUGGUCCGCGACUUCGGCUGUGCGGGCGGCGAGGUCUCGGUGGACGUCUACGGUGGGUCGGGGUGCCCCGUCACCCGGCGUGCCUGCUACGAUGAAGUCCGACGCCUUCUCCGGCUGCGGACGCUCCCCUGGCCACGUCUUUGGCCGGGUGGUUGGGACGGGGGCGGGAGCGGGGGAAACCCUUGGCCGUCGGCGGAGGCCACGACAAUGGCGGCGCCUUGUGGGCGUCGGUUCCCUUCUUGGAGGCCUUGUCGAGGUCCUAUCCUGUCUCUCACUGUGUUCUUCAUUUGGGCGAAAGCUCUAGUUCCCCUUGCGGGCGACGGCGUCGUCCCUUCGUUGCGCUCCUUCUUGAAGGCGUCGCCUGGGGUCCCCGGAAGCACGGUGGGCGCUUCGUGGUGCGUGUGAGGUGUUUGGCGGCGGCAAUGUGUGCGGCGAUUUAUCUAUUCUACCGCUGAUCUUCAUCCUGUGGUAGCGCUCCAUCUGCUUGGUGAUGUUCUACCGUAGGUGGUGGUCGUCAUUUGGCGUCAUGGUGGUGUUGAUGGCGGAGGGCCUGCCAAGGAUGGCACCUCAAUCUGCUUGGAGAUGGACCAGUGGAAGAUGGUGGAGACGACACCUGUGAGUGCGUCAGACCGGUUUAUGCCCCAGACCCGGUAUGUGGCUAGGCUGGGGAUUCCGGCUUUCGAUGUUAGGUUUAGAUGAGUGGUCUGGGUAGGGGCCCAGCUAGCACCCCUUCAUCAUAUGGAUAGGAGUAGCAGCAUAUGUUGCCUAGUUGGUGGAUUCAGGCUUAUUGUUGUAACACUUUGUAAGGUCCUCGGGAAUAAUCAAUAAAGUGGCCGUAUGCAUCUUCCAGAUGCAGAGGCCGGGGGUAAUCCUCCUUUUCUAAAAAAAAAGUUCUACCAACAUGGUUCUGUUGCAUACAAAUGGAAAGUGUGCUUCCAACUAACAGGUAGACUAGUAUUUUAUACAAAAGCAUGUGUACCCCAUGGUAGCAAAUUAUUUUUGUAUUUUCAAAAGCAUUGUUGCAAAGCCAAAUGAAGCCUAAAUCUGACAGCGGAGAACAGGACAGGGCUAUAUAUUUGUGCCGAAUUAACCGGACCAAUCUCCGUGGUUUUUCAUUUUCUCUUUGUGUAUGAAAUGCAGGAACAUCAUGCUCCCAGACAAGGUUGGUUAAUAAAUCCCCUGCAUAAAGGGCGGAAUAAAAAUAUAUACGUUAAUGGCAAUUAGAAUAGGAACAGAAAAAUAGUGUACACUCUGCUACACCUAAUUAACAUGUUCUUUAAUUUUUUUGUAUGUAUACAUGCAUGCUUCAUUUUUUGUGAUUACUCACACAAUUUCACCCUUUCUGUUUUCAGUAAACUUUGCUCUGUGCAGGAAGAAUCAAGGGUGGACCUAGCAUGAAAAUGACUAGGUCUUUGUAUCGUGGAGCUACAAAGAAAAGGAUGGGUGGGACAGAGAGCACAAAAAAUUCAAAUUCUGAACCAUAUAUUAUAUACUAUUGAGUGAACUAUAUUUUUUUGCUACACUGUUGUUAAACCGUGAGCUAGCAACAAUGCCUUUGUUGUGAACUUCUGAACCGUAAAAGUGGCCUUUGUUCUGAACCUGCAAAAUGUAAAGAACAAUGGCUUUGCACGGUAUCAACUUUAAAACAGCAAGAUUUCAGUAUGGAUUUUGUAUGCUAGAGACCACAGAUGAUGAACCAUGUGAAAAUUUAGGGGAAGAAAAAUUUGGAAUGAUUCGAAGAAAUUUCGAGACCUAUAGAGCUUGCAGGGGUGCAGGCAGAUUCAGCUGGGUCGCCGGCUCGCAGGGGUGCAGGCAGAUCGUCCAUCGAAGAUGGAUUUCGAAUCGAGUGUCCCGUUGGAGGCAUCCCGUGGCGACUCGGGCGGCGACUCCGCCUCCCUGUGCGCCUCCGGCGCGGCGUCGGCCUGGGUUCUGGUGCGGCGGGGUCCCUGCGGCGCCCCGGCGCCCGCCGCCUCGGCGUGCUCUCCUGGGGAUGGCCGGGCGAGCUGCGGUGGUCGGUUCUGGGCUUUGUCGGGGGAUGAGUCAGACGACGAGGACGGGAUCUCCUCUCCGCGGUUUGCUCCCCCUCCGGCGGGGGCGUCGCUAGGCGAUUUCGUGCUCGCGGCGGCUCGUGGCGGGGCUGGUCGGGGUGACCGGCGCCGCCGGUUUGCGCCGGGUGGUGGGGGCUCGCGGGUGACGGCGGUCCGGUGCUGGAGGACGGGGGCGUUCGCUCCGCGCGCUCCGGGGGCUGGUCCGGCGCUCCCGCGCUCUCCUAGGUGCUCGGGGCCCGCGGCGGCCCCGGCGUCGCCGGAGGAGUGGCCUGCUGUCCCUGCGUUGCCAUCGACGGCGCCGUCGGGGCCGGAGGCGGCGCGGGCGACGGAGGGGGCGCCGGAGGUGGGAGCUUCGCUAGGGUUGGCGUCGACUGCCCUGCCCCUGGGCCCGCCGCGGGUCUCUGGGCCUGGGCCGGCAUCGCUAGGCCCGUUGCCUGUCGGGUCCCUCGGUGUGGGCCCAGGCGCUGGGCCUGGGCCGUUCGGCCCGUCGGGUCGGCCUGGCCUGGGGGGGGGGGAGCCUGCUGGCCAUCGCUAUAUAUGGCUGCGCAGGGGGUGUCGUGACCCCUCGCUAGGGUUUCCGGCUCGACACAGUGAGGUGCGGCGCCACCGUUUCUCCGCCAGAUCUCUCAUCCCCAUUCCUCCCCCUCUCCCUCUCUCGCGGUCUUUUGCCGAGGCGACGGCCAUGGGUGACCGCCGUGCGGACAAGCGCCGAUGGAGCCCCCGUGCCCGGAGGAGGAAUGGUGGCGCGAAAAGGCCCUUCGGGAGCAGGCAAAGCGCAGUCAGUAGGCCAAGGCUGCGGGGCGUGCGGAUGGCGGCGGUGGUUCCUCCCACGGCCAGGGCGGUGGAUCUGGGCGUGGUCAAGGUGGUUUCCAGGGAUAGGAUUCUGGAUCUGGCUUCCAAGGGCAUGAGGGGGAUUGGGGUCCUCCUCCGCCCUGGUAGGGCCAACAAGAGCAGAAGAAGAAGCGCAAGCAUGGUACGCGGCGGCGUGAGCUAGAACGCAAAUCGCAGGACCUUCCCCCUUGCAGCGACGGUCAUGGUGACCCGCUGGCUAAGAAGCCUCGGGCUGGGGCCGCUCCGCUCGCGGUGGUCGCGGUCGAUGCGCCGCGGGGCUCGGCGGCUGCCCCCAUUCCGGUCGAGGAGGAGGGUGGGGAAUGCUUCAAGUGUGGCCGGACCGGUCACUUCCAGGCCAAGUGCACUUUCCCCCCUCUAUGUGUGAUCUGCAAGCAGGAGGGUCACGCUUCGGCUUACUGUCCUACUCGGGGCAAACAGCCGCUCCUCCAGAUCAUGGGCAGCGCAAUUCCGGGCGAGGGUUUCUUUUGCAUGGAGUUUGAAGAUGAUUUGUUGGUCGUCGACGAGGCCUCUAAGGUUGCCAAUGGUGCCAUCCUCUCAGUGGAGCCAGGGAGGCUCUCGCUGGGUGUGCUCAAACAGGAACUGAAGCACAUGGUGGCUGGUGAUUGGGACUGGCAGAUUGAGCAGGUGGGUGACAAUGACUUUGCGGUGGUGUUUCCUUCUGCAGAUCUGCUGCACAUGGACAAGACAAGUGGUAAACUUUUCCUCUCCAUCCACGACAUUACUGUUCUGGUGCGUGACUCGAUCCAGGAGGCGAUAAUCCCCCUCUCCAUGCCUGAGGUGUGGCCUCGCCUCCAUGGCAUCCCCAAGAAGCACCGCCGUGCUGACCGUCUGAUGGAGGGGCUCAAGAUGCUGGGUAGGCCGAUCGUGGUGGAUGAUCUUUCCCUUAUCCGGGUGGGACCGGUGAGGAUGAAGUUUGGUGUUCGAGCUCCUGACAAGAUGAACGGAUUUGUUCAAGUCUGGUUCAACCAUGAGGGAUACGACAUCCGGGUGGAGGUGAAGAAGCUUCCUAUGCGUCCUGGUGAUGGGCCGGCGGCGUCCGGUCCCAACAAAAACCCCUCACACCCGGGAGAUAAGAGUGGUGGCCCGCCUGGUUCACGGACUGGUGGGCCUGCUGGCCCGCAGGGGCCUGAUCAUGGGGCCAAGGGGGGCCAACCCAUCGGUGGCUCGGGCCGCGCUAUGGAUGUUGACAUGGCCGGACAGGAUGCAGAGCCUGAGGACAGUCUGCCAGACACGUCUAUUGACAUAGAGACUUGGAACCAGCUGGGCAUUCAAGAACUGGCGCUUGACGAAGGGAAGGAGCUCGAGAUGCCUGGGACUCUGGCGAUUGCGGACACGGCUGGGAGCAGCCUGCCCCCGUCCCGCGCCCUAGUGGGGGCUUUCAACCUGGUGGGCUCGGCGCCGCUGCCUGUUGCUGGCCGUCUGGAGUUGGCUGGCGGGCCAGCCUCCCCUCGCCUGCUUGGUUCAGACUCGGGUGUGGUGCUCAACGAGCCUGCUGUGGCCACCCCUCUGUCUAGCCGUCACAGCUCGGGGGGAUCCGGUCGUGCCCCCAAGAAGUCGGCCGGGCGGAAGCCCUCUGCCAAGCUUGCCACGCUGGCGCUCCCGUCUCCUGUGGCGCCAGCCGUGGUGGAUCUCCAGGCGGCGUUGGGCUCUGCGGGCACGGCGGCCAAGGCGCGUCUCUCUCGGGCGUCCCCGGUCCCCCAGCAUGCCCCCAGCGCUCGGGCCAAGGCGGCGUUGGGCGAUCUAUCUUCCCUGGAGAGUGUGCAACUUCGUCUGGUGGAUAAGAACAUGGAGAUCUCAGGUAACCCUCCCCCCUCUUUUAAGAUUCUGAACGCUUUCACCGAUCCUCAACUAGCUACGAUCUUAGACGACAGUGGUUUCGAAUUAGGCGAGGACCGUGGUGAGCUUGUGUCUCUUAUUCGUGCUCGCGAGGAGGCCCAAGCGGCUCUGGCAGAAGCCGCUGCUGCGGCCAAGGCCAGGGAAGCCACGGACACGACGCUGGGGAUCCCCGCCACUCCUGUGUCUUCGGAUUCCCCCUCCCUGCUUGUCCUGUCGGAGGGUGCUGCUGCAACCAGGGAGGUUGCCGCAGUGCCAACUACUAGCCGUGCCCAGGCUAAGAAACGUGUGGCUAAACCGGGGACCUCCAGGGGGGUUCGCCUACGCAACCGCAUUAUCUGAUGCGUUACAUCUUCUGGAACAUCUGAGGUUGCGGGCACUCGGGUCGUCGCACGCAACUUAGGGAGUAUAUUGCUCGUGAAAGUAUCGACGCCGUAGCUCUUCAAGAAACUAUCAAGGCGGACUUUACUUAUCGCGAUCUUUCGGCCUAUGAUCCUCUGCAUCGUUUCGUGUGGGGUUGGGUCCCUUCCGUGGGUCAUUCGGGCGGUCUUCUAUUGGGAUGUAAUUCUGAUGUGUGUUGUAACCUGGGACGUUGGUCCUUUUUUCAUCGCUGUGACGAUUAAGCAUAGAAUCUCGCUUGCCUCCUGGGCGAUUGUCUGUGUCUACGGCCCGUCCGGUCACUCGCGUUCGGCUGAUUUCUUGAGCGAAAUCCAAGUCUUGGUUGGGGCCAAGCAAGCUGCUAACAUCCCCAUUGUUCUUGGGGGUGAUUUUAACCUCAUUCGCUCGAGCGCAGACAAAAACAAUGACAACAUUGACUGGACUAGGAUUUCCCUUUUCAACAACGCCAUUGCGGCCUGUGCCUUACGUGAGCUCGCUAGGACUGGGGGCGGGUAUACUUGGACCAAUAAACAACUCAAUCCAAUCCGUAGUGUCCUCGACCGUGUGUUCGUCUCAGCUGACUGGGAGAUGAUCUUUCCCAUGUGUACCUUGGUCGCGGAAACUCGCAUUGGCUUUGACUACGUCCCGCUGAUCCUGGCCUCUAGGGAGGAUAGGAUCAAGCGUAGCAAGCGUUUUUACUUUGAAUCAGGGUGGUUUGAGGUAGAGGGUUUCAUCCCGUUGCUCCUCGCUCGCUGGGAGCUUGCCAGGACUUCGAGUGGCCGCUCCAGGGGCCCCCUUGAUGCUUGGAUUUCGGCUGCCAGCGCCCUGCGUGGCUUCCUCCAUGGGUGGGGAGCAAACCAUGGUAGCGAGGUAAAGCGAGCUAGGGAAGCUCUUAUCGAAGAGACUAAAGCUCUCGACAUCCAGGCAGACACCAGAUCCUUUUCGGAGGCUGAGUGGGCUUGCCGUUAUGCCCUAGAAAACCAAGUCUUGGCCAUCCUCAGGGAAGAGGAGGAAUACUGGCGCCGUAGGGGCGGUGUCAAGUGGGUCACCAAGGGGGAUGCUAACACAGGCUACUUUCACACCUUCACCAAUGGCCGUAAAAGGAAAUGUUCGAUCUUGAGACUGCAAUCGGACCAGGGGGUUUUGGUUAGCCAGGCCGAGAUCUCGAGACAUAUAUACGAUUUCUUCCUUUCCCUCCUGGGAACGGCGGAAGGGAAGGUUUUGCGUCUGCAUGAUGACUUCUGGGGGGAAGAAUCACGGGUCACACAAGCCGAAAAUGAUGGUCUCGCUUUAUCCUUCUCCACUCAGGAGAUCGACGACGCGCUAGGCUCAAUGAAGAUCGAUACUGCGCCUGGGCCGGACGGCUGGCCGGUGAUCUUCUUUCGGUGGCUCUGGCCGGCGCUCAAGGACAUGUUUUUACGACAUCAUCAACGGUUUUGUGUUGGGCACGGUCGACAUAUCGCGCCUUAACUACGGUGUCAUCAGUCUCAUCCCUAAAGUGAAGGGGGCCGAUUCGAUUAAGCAAUACCGUCCUAUCACUCUUAUCAACGUCCCCUUCAAGAUCUGCUCCAAGGCUUAAACCACGCGUCUUGCCCCGGUUGCUCAACGUGUGAUUGACCGUAGCCAGUCCGGUUUCCUCAAAGGCUGUAACAUCCUGGAAGGCCCGGUGGUCUUGCAAGAGAUCGUCCACGAGCUUAAGCGCACACGCCAUCCGGCCGUGCUUUUUAAGCUUGAUUUCGAGAAAGCCUACGACCGAGUGAACUGGGAAUUCAUUCGUGAAGUACUCACUCGGAAGGGAUUCGAGUCGGGUUUCAUCCACCGCAUUAUGCAUCUGGUUUCGGGGGGCCAGACAGCGGUGUCGAUUAACGGAGAAAUUGGGACUUUCUUCCGCAACAAACGUGGGCUCAGACAAGGAGACCCCUCCUCGCCUUUAAUCUUCAAUUUUGUUGCCGAUGCCCUCUCGGCCAUGGUGAACAAGGCCAAGGCCGCUGGCCACAUCCGAGGUGUUGUUCCCCAUCUGUGCCCCGGAGGGAUCACCCAUCUCCAAUACGCGGACGACACCUUGCUCCUCUUCGAGCCCGACGAUAAUAGUGUAGCCUCGAUCAAGCUCAUCCUUCUCGCUUUCGAGAUCAUUUCUGGCCUGAAGAUUAACUUUGCAAAGAGUGAGGUGAUUGACAUAGGGAUGGACGAUCACUAGGCCACCCGCAUUGCCAACUUACUUAACUGCAAACUAGGGAGUUUCCCAUUUAAGUACCUAGGCCUUCCCAUUUCGGACGAACACAUCUCGAUCCUCGAAUGGGAACCCUUAUACGGCAAGGUGGCGAAUCGGGUUAGUCCCUGGCGUGGCAGGUUCUUGUCCUCUGUGGCCAGGCUGAUUCUGACUAAUUCCAGUCUGUCUUCCCUGCCCUUGUUUACUAUGGGCAUGUUCCUGUUGGCCGACGGUGUCCACGCCAAAUUCGACACCCCCAGGUCUAAGUUCUUUUGGGAAGGAACUGGGAACAAGAAGAAGUACCACCUUAUCAAGUGGGCGGCGCUUUGCCGCCCUAAGAAAUUUGGUGGUCUCGGGAUCCUCAACUCCAAACUUAUGAAUGUGGCGCUUCUCGUCAAGUGGAUAUGGAAACUCUCCCAGAACGAGCAAGGGCUUUGGGCUGAUAUCCUUCGUGCCAAAUAUUUUCCAGAUGGAAAUUUCCUUACCUCAAAGGCGAAGGGAUCGCCUUUCUGGAAUGGAAUCCAGGCUGUUAAGCCUGCCUUCACGUUAGGAGCCAAGUUCAGUGUUAAAAAUGGGGAAUCUACGCGAUUCUGGCUUGAUCACUGGCUAGGUACGGAGCCUCUCUGGCAGAGCCACUUUGCCAUAUAUCAACUGGCCACUAACGUCGACAUUUUGGUGGCNNNNNNNNNNNNNNNNNNNNNNNNNNNNNNNNNNNNNNNNNNNNNNNNNNNNNNNNNNNNNNNNNNNNNNNNNNNNNNNNNNNNNNNNNNNNNNNNNNNNNNNNNNNNNNNNNNNNNNNNNNNNNNNNNNNNNNNNNNNNNNNNNNNNNNNNNNNNNNNNNNNNNNNNNNNNNNNNNNNNNNNNNNNNNNNNNNNNNNNNNNNNNNNNNNNNNNNNNNNNNNNNNNNNNNNNNNNNNNNNNNNNNNNNNNNNNNNNNNNNNNNNNNNNNNNNNNNNNNNNNNNNNNNNNNNNNNNNNNNNNNNNNNNNNGCCAUCUCCUUCAAAAGGCCUCUCCUCACUCACGAACGCGCUAGCUGGGAUGGGCUCCUAGCUAAGGUGCAGGGUUUCUCUCUUCUCCCUGAGAAGGACACGGUCUCAUGGUCCCUCACGAGCUCAGGGAAGUUCUCGGUCAAAUCCCUUUAUAACAAGCUGACCGAGGGACCGACGCUCGACAUAGCUAGGGGGCUAUGGAAAGCGUCCAUUCCUUUGAAGAUCAAAGUUUUCCUAUGGCAACUUUUUCGCGAUCGCCUCCCUUCUUCUAACAACAUUGCCAUUAGACAUGGCCCUUCGGAUGGCUCUUGCGCGCUCUGUGGCCAGCAUGAAGAUGCCAACCACAUCUUUUUCAAGUGCCAUCUGGCCCGCUUUGCCUGGAGUGCCGUCCGUAAGGCUUUCGAUCAGACUUGGAACCCCAAUUCGACUUCGGACCUUCGUAGGAUCCUCCUUGCGCAUCGGGGUAGUUUCGGACGUGUGUUGUGGCGCUGCGUAGGGGCGCUGUGCUGGUCUCUUUGGACCAUACACAAUAAGAUGACAAUCGAACACAAGUUCCCUAACCAUCCUGCUGACAUUAUUUUCAAAUGCCAUGUGUUCCUACAGACAUGGACUCCGUUGGGGAAACGGCGUGAUGCAGAUCGGAUGCUGGAGGCCAUGGAGCGGAUCCGCAUGAUCCAGGUGGAAGCCCGUGCCUAAGUUGAUGCUUUUGGAGCUAUUUUGGCAUUUCAUUUGUCUGGCUGCCUGUCGAGCUUCUAGUUUAUGUUCUCUUCCUAGGCUGCGGCCAGUUGCAUGUUCAGUACUUUUGGCUUCGGCCUUUCUUUCCUUUUUAGAUUGUUAUUCCUGUAUUGUACUCCUUGAGGAUGCUACCUGUUGAUGGGCUUUAUUAAUUUAAAGCCGGACGCAUGGUGCGUCUUCGUUCUAAAAAAAGGGGUGCAGGCAGAUUCAGCUGCGUCGCCGGCUCGCCGCUGUUAACUACGUCGUCUGGCAGAGUCAUGGGUCGGCCGUGGGACUGGGGGGAGAACUAGGCGGCUGAUCUCUGAGACUCCGCUUCUGUGUUGCGUGCCUUUGUUAUUUUUUCUCAGAGAGAGAAGCAGUGCUGCCACUUUGUCAUGUGAGCCUCGCUGGGCUGAUGUGGGCUGGGCUAGGUGUAAAUUAUUUUUUGCUCCAACAACGCUAGGCAGAACAUGGCCCAGAUAGGCCUUGCUGUAACUCUGCCAGUGUGUAUAAAUACAAUAAAUGUCAUACAGUACUACGCAAUAUUGUAUCUAAUAUGAUCAUGUUUUUCAAUUUAGUUUGUUCCAAAUUGCAAAUACUGCUAUGAAUUCAAAACCAAAAUCUAUAGCAUCGGAAAUACCCCUUUUAUUUAUAAAGGGCAUUGUCCUUAUUUGACUCAUAUAUUAUAUCAAAAUUUGCUUAGUUUCAUCAUCUCAACCUAGCAUUAUCAAAUUUGUAAUGAUUUUUAUUCAUGGCAUCACAAUUUUAUUUGGCGCAUGUUUAUGUCUAAACUAGCAUUAUCAAAUUUGUAAUGAUUUACAAGAAGAGAUAGUAAACAUUUUGUAAAUGAACUCAUAAGGCAUAACCAAGGUCACUUUUAGACUAAAUAACUGUGGCAGAAGCAGUAGGUGCGCGGUACAUGCAACACAGGAGCCAAUAGGGGCAUGAAGAUUUCACAAGUGAUGGAUAUAUUGACUAGCUCGGCUUGUUACCAGGUCGCCUAGUAUUACAUCUCCCCCUUUUAAGAAAAAAAGGCCUCAAAUAUGCUAAUCAAAACAGUAGUACAACCACCACGGAAAUAUUAAGAAACUCCUUGAGGUCCCUAGGUUGUUAUUUUCCUUUUACUUUGGUUUAAAUUUUUAAAAACACAAAUACAUAUAUUAUGAAAAGGUAAAUUAGUUAUUUGUUUUACAAGUAUUCAACACACAUUAAAAAAAUGUAAAUGCAGUGUCCAAAAAUGUUCACUCAACUUUAAAAAAAUGUUAGUACCGUUCAAAAACUAUAUGUGACAUUUAAAUGUUCAUGCAUUUAAAAGAAUGUAAUUUACAUUUAAAAUAUACAUAUACAACAUAAAAAAGUAUUCAUUUAAUUCAUAAAAAUGUUCAAUGCCAAUAAAAAAUGUACGUUAUAUUUAAUAAACUAUUCAUGCUUUUCAUAACAAUAUGCUUGUGACAUUUCCAAAAAUGUUUGCAGUAUGUAUAAAAAUGUUUGCAUACUUUUUAAAACUUGUGUUUGUAUCAUGAAAAANNNNNNNNNNNNNNNNNNNNNNNNNNNNNNNNNNNNNNNNNNNNNNNNNNNNNNNNNNNNNNNNNNNNNNNNNNNNNNNNNNNNNNNNNNNNNNNNNNNNNNNNNNNNNNNNNNNNNNNNNNNNNNNNNNNNNNNNNNNNNNNNNNNNNNNNNNNNNNNNNNNNNNNNNNNNNNNNNNNNNNNNNNNNNNNNNNNNNNNNNNNNNNNNNNNNNNNNNNNNNNNNNNNNNNNNNNNNNNNNNNNNNNNNNNNNNNNNNNNNNNNNNNNNNNNNNNNNNNNNNNNNNNNNNNNNNNNNNNNNNNNNNNNNNNNNNNNNNNNNNNNNNNNNNNNNNNNNNNNNNNNNNNNNNNNNNNNNNNNNNNNNNNNNNNNNNNNNNNNNNNNNNNNNNNNNNNNNNNNNNNNNNNNNNNNNNNNNNNNNNNNNNNNNNNNNNNNNNNNNNNNNNNNNNNNNNNNNNNNNNNNNNNNNNNNNNNNNNNNNNNNNNNNNNNNNNNNNNNNNNNNNNNNNNNNNNNNNNNNNNNNNNNNNNNNNNNNNNNNNNNNNNNNNNNNNNNNNNNNNNNNNNNNNNNNNNNNNNNNNNNNNNNNNNNNNNNNNNNNNNNNNNNNNNNNNNNNNNNNNNNNNNNNNNNNNNNNNNNNNNNNNNNNNNNNNNNNNNNNNNNNNNNNNNNNNNNNNNNNNNNNNNNNNNNNNNNNNNNNNNNNNNNNNNNNNNNNNNNNNNNNNNNNNNNNNNNNNNNNNNNNNNNNNNNNNNNNNNNNNNNNNNNNNNNNNNNNNNNNNNNNNNNNNNNNNNNNNNNNNNNNNNNNNNNNNNNNNNNNNNNNNNNNNNNNNNNNNNNNNNNNNNNNNNNNNNNNNNNNNNNNNNNNNNNNNNNNNNNNNNNNNNNNNNNNNNNNNNNNNNNNNNNNNNNNNNNNNNNNNNNNNNNNNNNNNNNNNNNNNNNNNNNNNNNNNNNNNNNNNNNNNNNNNNNNNNNNNNNNNUAAAAAAUGAAAUCGAAGAAAACCGGUAAAAACAUAAAGAAAACACAAAAAGGAAGAAAAUAAAAAACAUUGAAAAUCAAAGAAAGCAGUAGAGAAAAGUACAGGAAAAAGAAGGAAAAACUAAUGCUCAUAUGCUCAUAUGAAGAGUGGGACAAAAAUAUACCAAGUCCUUGACGCCAAUGCCACUCACGGGCGGCUAACCACAUUUUCAUUGGAGCCACACUUUUUUUUUUGCACUCUAAUUUGAUGAAGCUCCGCCUCUUUUUAAGUGACACAUCACCCUGGCCACUCUCAAAUUUGUAGGGCUCAAACUUCUAUGUUCAUGGAAGAAAGCAUGAACCCUCUUUUAAAAUGAUGAACAUUUUUGCUUAGCGCCCGUUUGGGGAUCUUGUCCAAUUUCCAUCCAAGCCUAGCAAAGCAACUUGUCCUCCUCCUCCUUUGUGUAUGCUCCGGUCCUCACGCUUUGCCGCCUCUUUUAAUUGUGACCGAUCUUGAUGAGAUAGCUCCUCCCCCAAACAAUGGCCCUUCUUCAAUGUCGACACUCUCUUGGCCUUUAGCCUCUUGGCCUUGAGUUUCUUUGGCACAAUCCCAGGGGCCACCCACAUUGAUCAUCUCCUCCAUGAGAUCAUCAUAGUAGUUUGGGUCGUCCGGCGUUGGCAUCGGCAUUCUAUCAAACAAGUUGCAUGCAUCGGGUAAGUUGGCCGGGGAGACCACCUGUGAGCGUUUCCUCUGCGUCUUGGUGGACUUGCUGGUCACAGGUGUGGUGUUGAGAUCAAUGGGAGGCACCACAGGGAUGACCAACACAGAAUCACCCAUUUUCGGCAAGCAAUACCGAGGUGAGGUGGAGAAGCGAGACAUUGUUGGGUCAUGUCCCGGAAGGUAACCAUACGCCAAUGACGAUGUUAAUGUGCGCGAUGAGUCCGGAAGCCUGGGCGGACGGGCCGCCGACAAGCCCGUGCCUGCCACCAUGGUGGCGGCGGUAAGAAGGCUCGGCUCGUGGAACCCCAGCCGUCUGCACGGCCUUUGUGGCGAUAGCGUUGGUGUCCACAGCGGCGGCGGUAGUGGCGAUGGUGGUGGCGUAUUAUUUUGCUUUCUCCUUCCUCCUCUCGUUAGCCCGCUUCACCGUCUUGGACGCUCUGUACUCCGGGGUCAUCUCCUUCUUCGGGGUCACGGCGGGGAUGGUCGGCGGCNNNNNNNNNNNNNNNNNNNNNNNNNNNNNNNNNNNNNNNUUUGGGGGGGGGGGAAUGGUGGGAGUGGCAAUGGUGUGCCACCAACUGACGGGACAGGGAAGGGCAAGGGGAGAACGGCGCGGGCAUCCUUAUUGUUUACACUCGACCUAAAUUUGGGACGAAAAUGGGUCAAAAUGGGCAUCCAUCCGUUUGCGUCGGGGCAUUGGACUGUGUUUUUUGUCCACAGGUCGCAAACAGACGCGGUGGACGAAAUGUGUCGGCCCACUGCAGUUGCCCUUAGCUAUUGAUUCGCUACAUGCCGAUCACUUUACAUCGUCCAAAUGACAAAAGCGUGACGGUUAACCCCUAAAUGAUGUGGGAAUCAGAGACUUUGAGGCAUCUGAUGACAUGUUGUGUCAUUUUGCAUAAUAUGAUCGUCGAGAAUGAGGGUGAUGGGGUAGCGCAAACCAAGGACUUUGACAAGCCACACGAACAAGUCCACAUCCAGAAACAUCAAGAUGCAUAUCGACUUAUGAAUUUUCUACCGAUGCAUCAAAAUCUUUGAGAUCAUCGGGUGCACACGCAGCUACUCAGUGAUCUUGUAGAAAAUACGUGGAUCCAUAUAAUUAAAUCAAAGAGCUAAUGUUUGAAUUGUGCGGUUAAAAUAAAUUUUAUGGUAUUUUUGCUAUCAACAAAUAUUAUUCGUGUAAUAUUUAUUUAGAGUAUAUGAUGGACGUGCAAGGAUUUGAGUUCUCACAUUUGGUCAGAAUACUUACAAAUUGGAGAGAGAAGGUGUGGCGCUGGUCGCAGAUUGGUCCGUUUGUGGAUUGGUGCAAUGCGUUCCAGAGAACACAAGCGGUGCAUCUUCUAGUAGUGCUUUGUGAUGCCGGCGAUGCGCUUCUUUCCACGCCCACCCACCCACCCACCCAAAGCACUACUCCCUUUCUCCUUUACCUUCUCUCACAUCCAACGCGUCGACCACUGAACAAACACAUGAGCCAAAAGCAUUAGGAGGGAUUCGUAUCUUGAGUUCUUGACUGCUGUUGUUGGUCUUGCUCAUUCUCAUCUCCUCCUCUCCUCCAUUGCGUCGCGUCGCCUGCGCUGAGUGCUCGCCCCCGCCAACUCACUGCCGGGAGGAGACCUUGACGACCGCGGAGGUAUGUUUCCUGUCGAUUUGUUUCCUGCUAAGGUAGCAAUGCUUGGAUCUAAAAGCUGAUUACUUCUCCUGCUUGAGAGUCUCAUCCAUUUGUGUUGGUUGAAUCUUGAAUCCACGGUAGGAAGAAUCAUGGAGUUCCCUGUCAAUCAGAGCAUGAUGCACUGAAUCCACUGACCUGGUAACUUCGUCUGAGUCUCACCUUUCUUGAUGUUCUGCUCUACUCACAUCCACACCUUCUUGUUAAUCUCCACCUUCUUGUUAAUCUGAUGGUUUGCUAGAUUUUAAUUUCUUAUUCUUCUUCCAGAUCGGGAGCAGUGAGCUAGUGACGCAUCUGACCUCUACUGCAUCUAGCCUCUGCCGUUAAGCACCAAAGGUGAGCUUGGGCCAAAUCCAGCUAAGUUUUUGGCUUGGCGACUCAGUUGUAGAGUUUGGAUUGCAUUACAGCUCUCUAGAUUCAUAGAUUUGCAGUUUUCCAGCUGAUAGGUCAUGGAGGUCGUCACGGGUGCCAUGGGCAGCCUGCUCCCCAAGCUCGGCCAGCUCCUCAUGGAUAAGUACAACCUGCACAAACGUGUCAAGAAAGAUGUCGAAUUCCUCCGGAAGGAGCUUGAGAGCAUGCAGGCUGCCCUCAUCAAGGUUGGCGAGGUGCCGCGGGACCAGCUCGACAGGCAAGUCAAGCUUUGGGCCGACGAGGUCAACGAGCUCUCCUACAACAUGGAGGAUGCCGUUGACAAGUUCCUUGUACGUGUUGACGGCAUUCAGCCACACGACGAGGCAAACAGAUUAAAGGGGCUAUUGAAGAGGAUGAUCGGCGUGUUCAAGAAAGGCAGGAAUCACCAUCCCAUAGCUGACGGGAUUCAGGGUGGACACGGUCCGAGCCGGUCCGGUCCCUGUCCGAGCCGGCGUUUGGACCGGCCGCUGGCGGUCCGGUCCGGACCGGACCGAGCAACGUCGCGGUCCUGUUUUCAGGGACCGAACCGGCAAUGGCCGAGCUCGGGCCGGACCGAGAGGACCGUGAUGUAACGCCCCGAGACCGAUGUGCCAGGUGUCGUUCAGCUAUUCGUUGUUGUUGUCUUGUCAUUGGCUUGCGUGUUGCAUUUCAUCAUGUCAUCAUGUGCAUUGCAUCAUCAUGUUUUCAAAACUUGCAUCCGUCCCGGUCUCCUCGUUCCUUCCGUUGUCCGUUCUGAGCCCAACCACAUUUGCACGCGCCCGCGGCAUGUCCAAGAUAGUAUUUUAUAAGUGGCCGGGAAAUGUUCUCGGAAUGGGUUGAAAGUUGGCAUGCGGUGUCGAUUUGUUGUCAGUAGACCGCCUGCCAAGUUUCAUUGCAUUCGGAGUCCGUUUGACGUCCCAACGGAUAAAUAUAGCGGCAAUAGUAGCCGGUCUAACGUCGGACGUUUUCGGUCUCCGGAAACAGUCGCCGGGCCUCCCUCUCUUCUCUUCUCUCAGCUCGAGACCAUCUGCACAGCCCACUAGCCCACCUAUUUAAACCCCCCCUCCGUUCUGGUCCGUCAGAUCGCGAUUGGAGGCUCCGGAACGGACAAAAAUCCCCCUAACCUAGCCCCCUUCUCCCCCUUCCAUUUUUGGGCAUCCCUAGCCCCCCCACCUACCUCUAGCCGCCUCCCACCUCCAUUUCCGCGCCACCCGCUCCAGCUCCGCCACUUGGCGCCGCCGCCGGCGCNNNNNNNNNNNNNNNNNNNNNNNNNNNNNNNNNNNNNNNNNNNNNNNNNNNNNNNNNNNNNNNNNNNNNNNNNNNNNNNNNNNNNNNNNNNNNNNNNNNNNNNNNNNNNNNNNNNNNNNNNNNNNNNNNNNNNNNNNNNNNNNNNNNNNNNNNNNNNNNNNNNNNNNNNNNNNNNNNNNNNNNNNNNNNNNNNNNNNNNNNNNNNNNNNNNNNNNNNNNNNNNNNNNNNNNNNNNNNNNNNNNNNNNNNNNNNNNNNNNNNNNNNNNNNNNNNNNNNNNNNNNNNNNNNNNNNNNNNNNNNNNNNNNNNNNNNNNNNNNNNNNNNNNNNNNNNNNNNNNNNNNNNNNNNNNNNNNNNNNNNNNNNNNNNNNNNNNNNNNNNNNNNNNNNNNNNNNNNNNNNNNNNNNNNNNNNNNNNNNNNNNNNNNNNNNNNNNNNNNNNNNNNNNNNNNNNNNNNNNNNNNNNNNNNNNNNNNNNNNNNNNNNNNNNNNNNNNNNNNNNNNNNNNNNNNNNNNNNNNNNNNNNNNNNNNNNNNNNNNNNNNNNNNNNNNNNNNNNNNNNNNNNNNNNNNNNNNNNNNNNNNNNNNNNNNNNNNNNNNNNNNNNNNNNNNNNNNNNNNNNNNNNNNNNNNNNNNNNNNNNNNNNNNNNNNNNNNNNNNNNNNNNNNNNNNNNNNNNNNNNNNNNNNNNNNNNNNNNNNNNNNNNNNNNNNNNNNNNNNNNNNNNNNNGCUCGCUCGCCCGCGCCUCCCGAUCUGCGCCGCCGACCCCGCCGCCGCGCCCUGCAGUCCUCCGCCCCAGGUCGCCGCCUCCCCGUCGACCUUCACCUCCUCUCUUUCUCCUCCUUCACUUCUCGUGCUCACCCCGCCGAUCCCUUCCUCCCGCAGGUAGCCGCCGCCGCCAUAGAGUCAUUCUGCCGCCGCCGCCACCGGGAACGGAUGGAUCCGGCCGGGAUCCGCCGGAUCCGCCCCAUCCCAGACUCCUCCGGCCAUCCCUCGCCCACUGCCGGCUCUCAUCGCCUUCCGCGCCGCCGGCCUCGUCUCUGUGCGUCGGGAGGACGACGCAGGCGCUGCCGGCCUCGUGGCCCGACCUCCCCACAUGGGCCUCGGCCCCUCCCCUUCGCAGCCCAGCGCGCCAGCCUCUCCAGCCGCGCCAGAUCCAGCCCAGCCGGCUCCAGCCUCCUGCUCCACCGCGCCCUUCAGACUAGGCCCGAGCCAAGGCCCAGCUCACUCGCUCCGCGAACCGCGCCAGCCGCAGCGCCUCAAGGCCCAGCUCGCCCGGCCCAGUGGCCCUCUGGUGAGCGCCCACGCGCUAUCCUGCGCCCCCAGCGCACUUUUGUUUCCUGCGUCGGCCCGUGUGGUUUGGUUUCGGCCCGCGUAGUUUUUUUUUCUGCGUUGCGAAUUUGUCUAUAUUAUCCAGAGAUUGCUGUUUUUACAAAAAAAGACCCCUAAACUUCAUGCAUUAAUAACUUCACAACCGUGCAUCGGAUUAAAAUGUUUUAUAUAUGUAAAAUGCUCAGAAAAUUGUGUAGUUUAAGAAUAUGCCAUUUUCAUCCAUGUUUAAAAUGUUUAACUUGCUGUUUAUUUAAAUUUGCUAAUAUGCCAUGCUAAAAUGCUUUAUUUCAUAACUAAAUAACCGUAACUCCGAUUUUAAUAAAUUAUAUAUGUAAAUGGGGUAGAAAAAUGUCUAGUUUAACAUGGUGCACUCAUCUUGCAUGUUUAACAACUCUAAAGUAUUGUUUAGGGCAGAACAGUGCCAAAUCUAAAAUAUGCUAUGGGGAUUUACCGGAAUUGUUGUUCGUUACUUCCGGCCUCAUUUAAACUUGCCUAGAUAGGUAGUUUCGUUGUGCUUCACCUCUUGCCAUGUUAAUCAACAUUUAAUAUUGUUGGGGUACAUAAACGAGAUCAAACUAAAUAACUUGUUGUGGUGUUUCGUCAAUAUGCAACUCAUUGCAUAUUGAUCUCCACUUAAUUUGUAGAACUGCUUGUGCACUUUGCCAUGCCAUGCUUCAUUAAACCGGACAUGCCUCAUACUCGUUUGUGCAUCAUGCCAUGUUGAUGUGUUGGUUGUUUACUAUGUUGUGUGCUUCUUUUCCGGUGUUUGCUUCUUCGGGUUGGUUCCGAUAACGUCGAGGUUGUGAGGAUCCGUUCGUCUACGUCCGUUUGUCUUCUUCGUAGACUCGUUCUUCUUCCUUGCGGGAUCUCAGGCAAGAUGAUCAUACCCUCGAAAUCACUACUAUCUUUGCUAUGCUAGUUUGCUCGCUCUUUUGCUAUGCCAAUGCUACGAUGCCUACCAUUUGCUUGUCCGCCUCCCAAAUUGCCAUGUGAAACCUCUAACCCACCAUGUCCUAGCAAACCGUUGAUUGGCUAUGUUACCGCUUUGCUCAGCCCCUCUUAUAGCAUUGUUAGUUGCAGGUGAAGAUUGAAGUUUGUUCCUUGUUGGAACAUGGAGAUGUUGUUCCUUGUUGGAACAUGUUUACUUGUUGGGAUAUCACAAUAUAUCUUAUUUAAUUAAUGCAUCUAUAUACUGGUAAAGGGUGGAAGGCUUGGCCUUAUGCCUGGUGUUUUGUUCCACUCUUGCCGCCCUAGUUUCCGUCAUAUCGGUGUUAUGUUCCCGGAUUUUGCGUUCCUUACGCGGUUGGGCUAUUAUGGGAACCCCUUGACAGUUCGCCUUAAGUAAAGCUCUUCCAGCAAUGCCCAACAUUGGUUUUACCAUUUGCCACCUAGCCUUUUCUUUUCCCUUGGGAGUCGCGCUCCUGAGGGUCAUCAUUAUUUUACCCCCCGGGCCAGUGCUCCUCUGAGUGUUGGUCCAAACUAGAGUCCUGUGCAGCGCCCCCUCGAGGAAACUCGAGGUUUGGUUUUAGUUGUAUGGAGCGCUCAUCUGAGUGUGCCCUGAGAAAGAGAUAUGUGCAGCUCCUAUCGGGAUUUGUCGGCACAUUCGGGCGGUGUUGCUGGUUUAGUUUUACCCUGUCGAAAUGUCUUGUUGUACCGGGAUACCGAGUCUGAUCGGAACGUCUCGGGAGGAGGUCUAUUCCUUCGUUGACCGCGAGAGCUUGUCAUAGGCUAAGUUGGGACACCCCUGCAGGGAUUUGAACUUUCGAAAGCCGUGCCCGCGGUUAUGGGCAGAUGGGAAUUUGUUAACGUCCGGUUGUAGAAAACCCGAAGUUGACCUUAUUUAAAAUACAUCAACCGCGUGUGUAACCGUGAUGGUCUCUUUCCGGCGGGGUCCGGGAAGUGAACAUGGUUGUUGGAGUUAUGCCUGACGUAGGUUGCUAUAGGAUCACUUCUUGAUCAUACUUUUAUCGACCGUGCUUUGCCUUCUCUUCUCGCUCUCAUUUGCGUAUGUUAGCCACCAUAUAUGCUAGACGCUUGCUGCAGCUCCACCUCAUACCUUUACCUUACCCAUAAGCUUAAAUAGUCUUGAUCUCGCGGGUGCGAGAUUGCUGAGUCCUCGUGGCUCACAGAUACUUCCAAAACCAGUUUGCAGGUGCCUAUGUUACCGAACAGGUGACGCAACCAAGCUCAAGGAGGAGCUCGAUGAAGAUCUUGCCCUUUGUGUUGUUUCGUUCUAGUUGAUCAGUAGUGGAGCCCAGUUGGGGUCGAUCGGGGACCUUUGUCGCAUUUGGGGUUCUUCUUUUAUUUUGGUUCCGUAGUCGGACCUUGAUUGUAUCUGGAUGAUGUAAUGCUUUAUUCAUGUAAUUGUGUGAAGUGGCGAUUGUAAGCCAACUAUGUAUCUCUUUCCCUUAUGUAUUACAUCGGUUGUGUGAAGAUUACCUCACUUGCGACAUUGCUUUCAAUGCGGUUAUGCCUCUAAGUCGUGCUUCGACACGUGGGAGAUAUAGGCGCAUCGAGGGCGUUACAAGUUGGUAAUCAGAGCCUUCCCAGACCUUAGGAGCCCCACUGCUUGAUCGUUUUAGCGGCCGAGUUUGAGUCUAGAAAAAAAUAUUUGGGUCAUUUAGGAUUAUAUAUAUCGGAGAGUUAGGAAUUCUUUUUACUCCCCAGUCUCUUCAUCGCUCUGGUAAGGCAUCCUGACGUAGAGUUUUGACUCUUCUUUUCUCAAAUUUCACUAAUUUUUUUUUAGGAUCACGCGGGUAUCUUGGAAUCGUUCCGAUGGUUUUAUGAUGAGAACAUUGUCUUGGUGCCUCCUGUCAGGGGUUUUGUGGAAGUGUCCCGGGGAGUUGAGCUCUGAGAUGUUGUCAUCAUAAUUUUAUCGUUGCAAUUCUGGUAUACCUGAGUUUAGUACGCCGACAUCGAAAAUCUCUUUUAUGCAGUUCGUUGGUGAGAUAACCUCGACGCCACCCAGUACUGGGGCGGGAGUUCGGGAGUAUCGCCAUAACUUGUAUAACGGAUGCUUUUCGAAGGUUGAGGUAGAUGAUUUCCGAAGGUUUCUUGGUUAUGUGUUGAAGGAUGGAUACAGCUGGAUGUAGGAUUUGCUAGUUUGGGUGAGAUAUUAUGCUUCCCCUGUAUCCCCAACACCUGAUUGCAUAACCGGAAAAUUUCGGGAGUUUCAUAGGUGGGAAUUCAAGUAGCUCGUAGGAUAUCUUUCCGAUAGAUGUAUGAUAUGAAAUUGGGGUUCGACGUCUAGUGGUCCGCCUAUUCACGGUCGGUUUUACAGUGGUCUCGUUGUGUCUUAAAGAGUCCUUGGCUAUGCCGACUCGGGGACGCUUCGUAUGUCAUGUGCACUGCCUUGUACAUGAUGGUGCUGUACGAUCGAGCCCGUGUAGGCCCCACCACAAAAACUUCGGACGAAAUCUCUAUCAUAUGUUUGUUCUGGCUUAUUCUGCAAGCCAAUCCUUCGUUUUGUUUUGAGUUGUGGUAUUCGAGUUGCUUCGAAGUCAAGAGUUGAUUCCAUACCUUUCCUAAAUGGUCUUCUCAUAUUUCUAUGUGAAUACUAAUCCUUCUUGAUAAUCGAGAUUGUCAUGUCAAUCCUUUUUAACCAGUGUGCUUCUCUUCAAGUGGACACGAUCAUUUGAACUUCCGCAAGAUCAAUGAUCAGUUCUUCUCAACGGUGUUUGUUUCAUCCGUCUCCAAGUUGCCUUUGUUUUUCCCACCCACCCACCCUUUUUCUUCGAGGACUCGGAUAUCUUUAUCAAAUAUCCAUUUAUUAUGGAGGUCCCUCCAUUCUAUUUCCUUCAUGUUCUUAUCCGGUGAUUCUCAUGAAGUUACUAACGGAGUUUCUAGUUCAUCAUUCUUNNNNNNNNNNNNNNNNNNNNNNNNNNNNNNNNNNNNNNNNNNNNNNNNNNNAACGGUGUUUGUUUCAUCCGUCUCCAAGUUGCCUUUGUUUUUCCCACCCACCCACCCUUUUUCUUCGAGGACUCGGAUUUCUUUAUCAAAUAUCCAUUUAUUAUGGAGGUCCCUCCAUUCUAUUUCCUUCAUGUUCUUAUCCGGUGAUUCUCAUGAAGUUACUAACGGAGUUUCUAGUUCAUCAUUCUUCGUUUCUUUUAUCUUCUCCGGUGGUUUCAAGUCAAGCUUUUGGUGUUGAUCAUAUCCCUUUCCUCGUUUUCAAUGCUUUCUCAUGCUGGUGCAAUUCUCAAUCUUUCACCUCUCGCUAUUCAAUUGUCCCGGAGUGCUCAAAUUUUCUCAAAAGGUUUGUCUUGUCAUUCAAGAUUCUUUCAAGAUCUUUCGAGGAUGUUAUCUCAUUCAAGUCAUUUAAUUCAACCGAUGCAACCUCUCUUUUAAAUCAUUUCAACGCUGUUUCUUUUGAGUGGGCCCUAACCCACAGGUCUGUUCCCAGGAUCUUACCUGACUCUUAUUUUCCCGGAGCUAUCCUCAAAGUUCUUGUCAAAGUUUGACGUAAGAAUGAUUCAUCAUCAGUCAUAUGUAUUUCUCCUAGAUCUUUCACAAUUCUUUUCAUCGUUGGCUCAACCUCUUCGUUUUGAUUCCUCGAGAGUGUCUAAAUAAUUCUUGGUGAUGUUUCUCGUCAUUUUGAAGACCAAAGAAGAGUUUCUCUUUAAUCUUGCUCCAUUCUCUUCAAGAUUCGUGAUUCUAGCUUGUUGCCAUCCUCUCGUAAUUGUUUUGAUCGUGAGAAUUCUUUUCACCUAUCCGGAGAAAUUCAAGAGUCUUCUCAGUUUGUUAUCCGGAGUCCAUCAAUUCAGGUUUAUUCAUUCUCAGCUGCCAGUUAUCAUUCUCCUAUCUUGCCGGCGCAUCAAUCAAAUAUCCUCUAAUCAGUUCUUGAUCUCUUCGUUCUCAUGUAUCUAGUUUGUCUCAAGCACCUUCGUUCAUUUUCUAAUUCUUACCGGUGAUGCACCCCUACUUCGAUCAUUUUCAAUUCUUUCGGUGGUUCGCUCAAGUGUUCUCUUCCUUCUUCAUCAUAUCAAUUCAUUCGUUGUUUCAAUCCUACCGGUGGUCCAUUAAGUUUAUGUUAUAUCUCUUUUAAUCCUUGAUACGAGAAUGAGUAGUAUGCCAAAUCCAUUUUUUGUCAUCAAUUUAAUUGGUGAAGGAUAGGCAUAAUGUAAUUCUUAUUCUUGUUGCAUCGACUGAACUCAAUUCCCUAUUCCGGAGGCUCAUCAAAUUCUUGAUUUCUUUUGUUCAUAUUUCUUUUCCCGGAGUUCCAAGUUUUCUCAAUUAUUUCACCAUGGAGAUUCAUCUAAAUCAUUACAAGGUUUUACCUUGUGUUCUCAACUUCUCUUUCUUUUCGUUACCUUUUCUUUACCGAAGUUCUCAUGAAGGUUCUACAUGAGGGUUCAUCAAGGAUUUAUAUUCCUUCUUGAAGUGUUCAUCAAGAUUCUUUUCCGAGGAGCUCAAGUUUUCUUCAUCUUGCUAUCCGGAGUGCAAUUCUUUCAACCGUAUCAUUGGAGCUGGUAUUAUGUCAUUCUUGAUAAUUUGAGUUCAUGUUUCAUGAUUCACAUGUUGUUAAGAAUGAGGUAUUUCAAAUCCACCAACCUCUUCGUUGGAGUUAUCUGGUGUCAUGUUUCACCUAAAGAUUUCUCUAAGGAUUGUUGAUAUUUAUGCUGCUUAUAAAUGACCCAAGUUUUUCUUUUACCCUCCCGGUGAAAUAUUUUCUCGUCUCCUUGUCUAUAUCAAUACAAUUCUUUUCCCGUGAGUGGCAGGUUGUCACCUCAUAAUUUGAGAUGUAUUCCAUAAGACCAUAUCAAGCUUAUUCUUUUUGUUGUUGGUUUUCCAACAACUCCAUUCUAGCUUUUGUUGUAAGCAUGCUACCUCGAGACCUUGUUUCCCUUCGUUCACUCCAUUCCAUUCUUACUUUUGUUCCGGAGGCAUUGUGAUGUUCAUCUUUUCAACCCAUCAUCUCGUUUUGUCAACGAUCAUGUUCUUUUCGUGCUUAUCCAUUUAACCAGAGUGUCGUGUCCUCUGCUCAAGUUCUUUUCAUCUUAUCUAGUCUUGUAUCACUUUUCAACCGGAGUGCUGUUCGAAUUUGGUCUUCCUUGAUCCCCUUCCUUAACCGGCGUGUUUUCAAUAUAUAUCUUCCCUUCAACCUCAAGGUUUUUCGCAAAUGUUCUUUGUCCCUAUUUGCUAACAGAGUGUUUUCGACCUUGUUCACCUUCGUUGUAUUCUUUUCUCGAAUUUGUUCAACCUAGCAAGGUUCUUUGGUUUCACUCAUUGGUCAAAGAAGCAAUUUAGUUUUACCGCUUCUCUUUCCCUUUCGUUUUCCCUCCGGUGCCAUUCUAGAUCUCGGGACGAGAUCCUCUCGUAGUGGUGGAGUGUUGUAACGCCCCGAGACCGAUGUGCCAGGUGUCGUUCAGUUAUUCGUUGUUGUUGUCUUGUCAUUGGCUUGCGUGUUGCAUUUCAUCAUGUCAUCAUGUGCAUUGCAUCAUCAUGUUUUCAAAACUUGCAUCCGUCCCGGUCUCCUUGUUCCUUCCGUUGUCCGUUCUGAGCCCAACCACACUUGCACGCGCCCGCGGCAUGUCCAAGAUAGUAUUUUAUAAGUGGCUGGGAAAUGUUCUCGGAAUGGGUUGAAAGUUGGCAUGCGGUGUCGUUUUGUUGUCAGUAGACCGCCUGCCAAGUUUCAUCGCAUUCAGAGUCCGUUUGACGUCCCAACGGAUAAAUAUAGCGGCAAUAGUAGCCGGUCUAACGUCGGACGUUUUCGGUCUCCGGAAACAGUCGCCGGGCCUCCCUCUCUUCUCUUCUCUCAGCUCGAGACCAUCUGCACAGCCCACUAGCCCACCUAUCUAAACCCCCCCUCCGUUCUGGUCCGUCAGAUCGCGAUCGGAGGCUCCGGAACGGACAAAAAUCCCCCUAACCUAGCCCCCUUCUCCCCCUUCCAUUUUUGGGCAUCCCUAGCCCCCCCACCUACCUCUAGCCNNNNNNNNNNNNNNNNNNNNNNNNNNNNNNNNNNNNNNNNNNNNNNNNNNNNNNNNNNNNNNNNNNNNNNNNNNNNNNNNNNNNNNNNNNNNNNNNNNNNNNNNNNNNNNNNNNNNNNNNNNNNNNNNNNNNNNNNNNNNNNNNNNNNNNNNNNNNNNNNNNNNNNNNNNNNNNNNNNNNNNNNNNNNNNNNNNNNNNNNNNNNNNNNNNNNNNNNNNNNNNNNNNNNNNNNNNNNNNNNNNNNNNNNNNNNNNNNNNNNNNNNNNNNNNNNNNNNNNNNNNNNNNNNNNNNNNNNNNNNNNNNNNNNNNNNNNNNNNNNNNNNNNNNNNNNNNNNNNNNNNNNNNNNNNNNNNNNNNNNNNNNNNNNNNNNNNNNNNNNNNNNNNNNNNNNNNNNNNNNNNNNNNNNNNNNNNNNNNNNNNNNNNNNNNNNNNNNNNNNNNNNNNNNNNNNNNNNNNNNNNNNNNNNNNNNNNNNNNNNNNNNNNNNNNNNNNNNNNNNNNNNNNNNNNNNNNNNCCUGCCCGAGAGCCGCCUGGCUCUCGCUCGCAUCUCCGUCGCCCGAGCAGCUCGCUCGCCCGCGCCUCCCGAUCUGCGCCGCCGACCCCGCCGCCGCGCCCUGCAGUCCUCCGCCCCAGGUCGCCGCCUCCCCGUCGACCUUCACCUCCUCUCCUUCUCCUCCUUCACUUCUCGUGCUCACCCCGCCGAUCCCUUCCUCCCGCAGGUAGCCGCCGCCGCCAUAGAGUCAUUCUGCCGCCGCCGCCACCGGGAACGGAUGGAUCCGGUCGGGAUCCGCCGGAUCCGCCCCAUCCCAGACUCCUCCGGCCAUCCCUCGCCCACUGCCGGCUCUCAUCGCCUUCCGCGCCGCCGGCCUCGUCUCUGUGCGUCGGGAGGACGACGCAGGCGCUGCCGGCCUCGUGGCCCGACCUCCCCACAUGGGCCUCGGCCCCUCCCCUUCGCAGCCCAGCGCGCCAGCCUCUCCAGCCGCGCCAGAUCCAGCCCAGCCGGCUCCAGCCUCCUGCUCCACCGCGCCCUCCAGACUAGGCCCGAGCCAAGGCCCAGCUCGACCGCUCCGCGAACCGCGCCAGCCGCAGCGCCUCAAGGCCCAGCUCGCCCGGCCCAGUGGCCCUCUGGUGAGCGCCCACGCGCUAUCCUGCGCCCCCAGCGCACUUUUGUUUCCUGCGUCGGCCCGUGUGGUUUGGUUUCGGCCCGCGUAGUUUUUUUUUCUGCGUUGCGAAUUUGUCUAUUUAUCCAGAGAUUGCUGUUUUUACAAAAAAAGACCCCUAAACUUCAUGCAUUAAUAACUUCACAACCGUGCAUCGGAUUAAAAUGUUUUAUAUAUGUAAAAUGCUCAGAAAAUUGUGUAGUUUAAGAAUAUGCCAUUUUCAUCCAUGUUUAAAAUGUUUAACUUGCUGUUUAUUUAAAUUUGCUAAUAUGCCAUGCUAAAAUGCUUUAUUUCAUAACUAAAUAACCGUCACUCCGAUUUUAAUAAAUUAUAUAUGUAAAUGGGGUAGAAAAAUGUCUAGUUUAACAUGGUGCACUCAUCUUGCAUGUUUAACAACUCUAAAGUAUUGUUUAGGGCAGAACAGUACCAAAUCUAAAAUAUGCUAUGGGGAUUUACCGGAAUUGUUGUUCGUUACUUCCGGCCUCAUUUAAACUUGCCUAGAUAGGUAGUUUCGCUGUGCUUCACCACUUGCCAUGUUAAUCAACAUUUAAUAUUGUUGGGGUACAUAAACGAGAUCAAACUAAAUAACUUGUUGUGGUGUUUCGUCAAUAUGCAACUCGUUGCAUAUUGAUCUCCACUUAAUUUGUAGAACUGCUUGUGCACUUUGCCAUGCCAUGCUUCAUUAAACCGGACAUGCCUCAUACUCGUUUGUGCAUCAUGCCAUGUUGAUGUGUUGGUUGUUUACUAUGUUGUGUGCUUCUUUUCCGGUGUUUGCUUCUUCGGGUUGGUUCCGAUAACGUCGAGGUUGUGAGGAUCCGUUCGUCUACGUCCGUUUGUCUUCUUCAUGGACUCGUUCUUCUUCCUUGCGGGAUCUCAGGCAAGAUGAUCAUACCCUCGAAAUCACUACUAUCUUUGCUAUGCUAGUUUGCUCGCUCUUUUGCUAUGCCAAUGCUACGAUGCCUACCAUUUGCUUGUCCGCCUCCCAAAUUGCCAUGUCAAACCUCUAACCCACCAUGUCCUAGCAAACCGUUGAUUGGCUAUGUUACCGCUUUUCUCAGCCCCUCUUAUCGCGUUGUUAGUUGCAGGUGAAGAUUGAAGUUUGUUCCUUGUUGGAACAUGGAGAUGUUGUUCCUUGUUGGAACAUGUUUACUUGUUGGGAUAUCACAAUAUAUCUUAUUUAAUUAAUGCAUCUAUAUACUGGUAAAGGGUGGAAGGCUUGGCCUUAUGCCUGGUGUUUUGUUCCACUCUUGCCGCCCUAGUUUCCGUCAUAUCGGUGUUAUGUUCCCGGAUUUUGCGUUCCUUACGCGGUUGGGCUAUUAUGGGAACCCCUUGACAGUUCGCCUUAAGUAAAGCUCUUCCAGCAAUGCCCAACGUUGGUUUUACCAUUUGCCACCUAGCCUUUUCUUUUCCCUUGGGAGUCGCGCUCCUGAGGGUCAUCAUUAUUUUACCCCCCGGGCCAGUGCUCCUCUGAGUGUUGGUCCAAACUAGAGUCCUGUGCAGCGCCCCCUCGGGGAAACUCGAGGUUUGGUUUUAGUUGUAUGGAGCGCUCAUCUGAGUGUGCCCUGAGAAAGAGAUAUGUGCAGCUCCUAUCGGGAUUUGUCGGCACAUUCGGGCGGUGUUGCUGGUUUAGUUUUACCCUGUCGAAAUGUCUUGUUGUACCGGGAUACCGAGUCUGAUCGGAACGUCUCGGGAGGAGGUCUAUUCCUUCAUUGACCGCGAGAGCUUGUCAUGGGCUAAGUUGGGACACCCCUGCAGGGAUUUGAACUUUCGAAAGCCGUGCCCGCGGUUAUGGGCAGAUGGGAAUUUGUUAACGUCCGGUUGUAGAAAACCCGAAGUUGACCUUAUUUAAAAUACAUCAACCGUGUGUGUAACCGUGAUGGUCUCUUUCCGGCGGGGUCCGGGAAGUGAACAUGGUUGUUGGAGUUAUGCCUGACGUAGGUUGCUAUAGGAUCACUUCUUGAUCAUACUUUUAUCGACCGUGCUUUGCCUUCUCUUCUCGCUCUCAUUUGCGUAUGUUAGCCACCAUAUAUGCUAGACGCUUGCUGCAGCUCCACCUCAUACCUUUACCUUACCCAUGAGCUUAAAUAGUCUUGAUCUUGCGGGUGCGAGAUUGCUGAGUCCUCGUGGCUCACAGAUACUUCCAAAACCAGUUUGCAGGUGCCUAUGUUACCGAACAGGUGACGCAACCAAGCUCAAGGAGGAGCUCGAUGAAGAUCUUGCCCUUUGUGUUGUUUCGUUCUAGUUGAUCAGUAGUGGAGCCCAGUUGGGGUCGAUCGGGGACCUUUGUCGCAUUUGGGGUUCUUCUUUUAUUUUGGUUCCGUAGUCGGACCUUGAUUGUAUCUGGAUGAUGUAAUGCUUUAUUCAUGUAAUUGUGUGAAGUGGCGAUUGUAAGCCAACUAUGUAUCUCUUUCCCUUAUGUAUUACAUGGGUUGUGUGAAGAUUACCUCACUUGCGACAUUGCUUUCAAUGCGGUUAUGCCUCUAAGUCGUGCUUCGACACGUGGGAGAUAUAGCCGCAUCGAGGGCGUUACACGUGAGGACCGGCCAAGACAUGGGCAGAGCGCGCUCUGGAGCUCCGGCGACGGCUCAUCAGAGAGAUAUCUUGCUAGAGGAAGCGCAGCUCAUCGAAAAGAUGUCUGGGAGCUUGAGAAGCAUCAGAGGAAGCUACGUGACCAAGAAGAACACCGGAGGGAGCUCAUCGGCGACGAAUCUGACACGACGGCCGGUGGACAGAGAUGAAAGGAAUGAUGGCUGAUGCGGCUACGUAGGACCUCCCUCGUCAAUUUUUUUUGACGGAGAUGAUAGAUCUCACGACGGAGGAACUCCUAGACAUGAUGGUUCGUCGCAGGAAGGCUGGUGGCCAUGGUGUUAUGCGGUGGUGCUCUGCUUGUGCGUUGGACGGCGGCUGCCGCGGCACAGGUGCGUGGCCCUGUCACGCCUUGGCCGCCACGCACUGGCCAAGCCCCCGUCAAGCCCCCGCCAUGCCCCCGUCAAGCCCCCGCCAUGCCCCCGGCAAGCCCCCAGCCAUGCCCCCGCCCUGCUCUGGCCAUGCCCCCGCCAUGCCGCCGGCUGCUUCUUCGGUCCGCUCGGUCGGCCCGAGCUUUAACCGGACCGGACCGGCCGAUUUUGGGUCUUGUUUUGAGGGACCGGACCGGCCGAUUUUUUUGUCGGGCCAGGACCGAGCCAGCCCGGACCGAGCGGGCCACGAGCCGGUCCAAAAGACCGCUCGUGUCGUCCACCCUGAGACGCGAUCAAGGACAUCAAGGAGCAACUCCAGGAGGUGGCUGCUAGGCGUGACAGGAACAAGGUAGUUGUUCCUAAUCCGACGGAACCAAUUGCUAUCGAUCCUUCUCUUCGAGCUUUGUACGCAGAAGCGACAGAGCUAGUUGGCAUAUAUGGGAAGAGGGACCAGGAGCUCAUGAGGUUGCUCUCCAUGGAGGGUGAUGAUGCCUCUAACAAGAGACUGAAGAAGGUCUCCAUUGUUGGAUUUGGAGGGUUGGGCAAGACCACUCUUGCUAGAGCAGUAUACGACAAGAUUAAAGGUGAUUUCGAUUGUCAGGCAUUUGUUCCGGUCGGUCAGAACUCUGACAUGAAGAAGGUUUUAAGGGAUAUCCUCAUUGAUCUCGGCAACCCUCACUUAGAUCUUGCGAUGCUGGAUGCCAAUCAACUUAUUAAAAAGCUUCAUGAAUUCCUAGAGAACAAAAGGUAUGCAUCAGUUUAGAAAAAAAGUACGCUAUUAUGAGAUGUUUGUUUCCUAUGCUAGUUGUACAAGUAAUGCUGUACUAGGGUAUAAAUAUAUUGUACGUCACACGCGGAAGGGUGCAGAAUAUUUGUUUUUCAUUAACAUCACCUUUACCGACAUAUGCAGUUCGCCCUAAACUGUAGACCUUAUAGGUGCUAAAUUUCAGGCAUGUAUAAGUACGUAGAUGUUUGAUUCUUCCCUCCUUUAUCAAUAUAAUUAGCAAGUACUUCUUGUUGCAUUUGUAUGGCUGAACUUAUUGCAUUGAUCCAAGAAAUUAAGCUGAACAUUUUACAUUUCACCAAAGUGAAUGUGAUGACAAUUGUAACAAAUAAUAAACCAAAAGGUAAGUAAGGAAAGAGGAAGGUAGAUAUUACCAAAAUUUACAUCAAGCUUAUUUAUAUCUUUUUCCUUACCUAUCCAGUUUUAAAACACAUAUUUUAAAGGGUGGCAACGUGCGCCAAAGGCUACCAUUGAAAAUUCCUAAAAUAUUGUACAUUUGAUUGAUGACCAAACAAGAAGAUAAAUUAUCUCUUCAUUAGCACAUUAUAUUUCCAUGCAUGUCCUUUUCUAGAAACUUACUAUGAACAUAAUAUAGACGAAUGGAUAAUGCCACACAAUUUGAGUCUCCAAGAGGUAUAUUAGCUGCCAUAUAUUAAAUUGGUGGGCCAAUCUGUACCAGGGUCUUUUUGAUAUAUCUACCUGACCAUUUGAACUUCUAUAGUUAAUUGUAUUCUGCAUAUGAUCAAUGAUCCAAAAACUUGCUAUUUGUGAUUUACUCAUUGAGUCUUAAAUAUUUAUUCAUUUUGUUCAUCAUAUGAUUGGAGGCCCAUAAUGGAUGCUUCAUCAUAGUAAGAUUAUCGAGUUCAAGACGCAUGCUUCUUACUUGUUUGUUUCUGAAUAUACGCCCUUAUAGAUGUAUAGUUCCAUCCAUAGAUUCAUAUGACCCUCGGCUUUCUGAUGUGUACACGCUGAACUAAUGUAUGUAUCUUGUCAUAAUUGAUGAUAUAUGAGAUGAAAAAUUAUGGGAAGGCAUCAAUUUUGCUUUCUCCAGCAGGAAUAAUCUAGGCAGUCGGCUAAUCACCACAACCCGCAUUAUCAGUGUCUCCAAUUCAUGUUGCUCGUCAGCCAAUGAUUCAAUUUAUAAAAUGAAACCGCUUUCUACCGAUGACUCCACAAAGCUCUUCUACAAAAGAAUAUUUCCCAAUGAUAGUGGAUGUCCAAAUGAAUUUGAACAAGUGUCUGAAGAUAUAUUGAAGAAAUGUGGUGGGGUACCACUAGCCAUCACUACUAUUGCUAGUGUUUUGGCUAGUGGCCAGCAGGUGAAACCAAAGUGUGAGUGGGAUAUUCUGCUCCAGUCCCUUGGCUCUGGACUAACAGAAGAUAACAGUUUAGAGGAGAUGGGUAGAAUACUAUCUUUUAGCUAUUAUAAUCUACCGUCUCAUCUGAAAACAUGUCUACUGUACCUAUAUGUAUAUCCAGAAGAUAGCGAGAUUUUUAGAGAUAGACUGAUAUGGAAGUGGGUGGCCGAAGGAUUUGUCCACCAUGGAAAUCAAGAGACUAGCCUGUUUUUGCUCGGAUUAAAUUACUUCAACCAGCUCAUUAAUAGAAGUAUGAUCCAGCCAAUAUAUGAUGGUAUAGGCCAGGUAUAUGCUUGUCGUGUACAUGAUAUGGUUCUGGACCUUAUCUGCAACUUGUCACAUGAAGCAAAGUUUGUUAAUGUAUUGGAUGGCACUGGAAAUAGCGUGUCCUCAGAAAGUAAUGUUCACCGUUUGUCCCUUCAGAAUAAAAAUGAAGAUUGUCAAGCCAAACCUCUCACAAAUAUCAUGAGUAUGUCACGAGUGAGGUCCAUUACUAUCUUUCCACUUGCUGUUAGCAUCAUGCCAGCUCUGUCAAGGUUUGAAGUUUUGCGUGUACUUGAUCUAUCAGACUGCAAUCUGGGAAAAAGUAGCAACCUGCAGCUUAACCUCAAGGGUGUUGGACAUUUGAUUCACCUAAGGUACCUUGGUCUAGAAAGUACUAAAAUCAGUGAACUACCGGCUGAGAUAGGAAACCUGCAAUUUCUGGAGGUGUUGGAUCUUGGAAACAAUGAUCAGCUAGAUGAAUUACCGUCCACUCUUUGUAAUUUGAGAAGAUUAAUCUGCCUACGUGUUUAUCCCGGUGUGGUGGUUCCAGUUGGUGUGUUGCAGAAUCUGACAUCCAUAGAAGUGUUGAGGGGCAUCUUGGUCUCUCUGAACAUUAUUGCACAAGAGCUUGGCAACCUGGCAAGGCUGAGGCAGCUUGAGAUUUACUUCAAGGAUGGUAGUUUGGAUUUGUAUGAAGGUUUCGUGAAGUCUCUGUGCAACCUACAUCACAUCGAAAUUCUAUCUAUUGAUUGCAAUUCCGAAGAAACGUCUUUUGAACUGUUGGGUCUCUUGGGAGAACGCUGGGUGCCUCCUGUACAUCUCCAUGAAUUUGAGUCUGGGUUGCCUAGCGAACUCUCUGCACUGCGAGGGUGGAUAAAGAAAGACCCCUCGCAUCUCUCGAACCUCUCCGAGUUAAUCCUCUGGUCAGUGAAGGAAGUGCAGCAGGAGGACGUGGAGAUCAUUGGGGGGGGUGCUGUUCCUUCGGCGUCUCUGGAUAAAAAGCACCCAACAAAUACAACGGCUGCUAGUCAUCCGUGCACAUGGGUUCCGCUGUAUGGUUGACUUUGACUUGCAUUGUGGAUCAGCAACGCAGAUCAGGUUUGAACCAGGAGCGUUGCCGAGGGCGGAAGCAGUUGACUUCAGCCUGGGCGUGCGGGUGGCGAAAGAGGAUGGCAAUAGUGAUUUCGACUUGGGCCUGCAGGGGAACCUGCUCUCCCUUUGGCGGAGGGUCUGGGUUUGUAUAUAUUGUGGUGGAGCGAGGGUUGGGGAUGCCAAGGAAGCGGAGGCUGCGGUGAGGCACGCACUCGAAGCCCAUCCCAAUCAUCCCUUUAUUAGAAUUGACAUGUACCCGCGUAUAGCAAAAGGUACUCAUGCUGCACCUAACUACUUACUUGUAUACGUAUGAGUGUGUUUUCUCAUGUCCGCCUAACCUUAUUGCUUUCUGUAUGCACGGCUUUGAUCUCUAAACCUUCCCAGAUGCCGAUGAUGACGAUUUGGUGUGUGGUAGUGAUGAAGACAACUGAUUUCUGAUGCAGAGCGACUCACAUUGCAUCAGGUUCAGGUGUGCUUGUAUUUGCUUAUCNNNNNNNNNNNNNNNNNNNNNNNNNNNNNNNNNNNNNNNNNNNNNNNNNNNNNNNNNNNNNNNNNNNNNNNNNNNNNNNNNNNNNNNNNNNNNNNNNNNNNNNNNNNNNNNNNNNNNNNNNNNNNNNNNNNNNNNNNNNNNNNNNNNNNNNNNNNNNNNNNNNNNAGAGUUCCGCUUAUUGUUCCAUUGAUCAACUAUGCUUCACUGUGAGAUCUGCUACUUAAGAAAAUAUUUACUAGUUCUACCGACAUCGUUCGAUUACAUACAAAUCAAACGGGUGCUUCCAAGUUCCAAUAAAUAAAGUACUUUUGAAAAGAGUUUUCGCAAACAAAUCCUUUAUGCCAAUAAGAAUUGGAACAUAAAUGUACCAGGACAGGAGAAAGUAUGUAUGUAGAUACACCUAAUUAUCAUUUUUUCCACCACCUUACUUUUUCCAUCUCUAGAGCUCACCCUGUCGUUGCAUUGAUCGCGCUUCACUAGUGACUAUUGAAAUUAGAAACUGGUGAAGGUGUUUUACAAAAGUUUCUUAGGCAUAAGUAUCUGAGAAAAUUUCACCUGCUCAGUAUCAUUUUUUACAUGGGCUGAUGAAAGAACUAGAUUUUCAGAAGAUUUAUGGAUAGAGGAUGCUGUUUUAGGUGCCAAGCUAGUACUCCAUGUUAUACGAUUUAUCUUUGUGUGAGCAUAUCUCUGUAGCUAGAGUGCUAGGCACUAAUGCCAGUGCUCUAAAAUUUACAAGGAAUAUAUAUAUGCUGAUACUGCUGGGCUGUGGCAUCAAUUAUUUGCUGAUUCUGAAAGUUUUUGUGUGAGAAAUAAGCAAGAUUCAUAGUACAUGGAUUUUAGAGACGAACGGGUUAUUUUCUGUGCAUUCUAUGUAUAUAGCUUUGAAAGCUCAGCAGAUGAAAUGACCUUGUAGAAAAUUUUGGUAUGUAAAAGUUCUACUGAAGAUCAAAGUAUUUCUGCGCUUAACAUUCAGAAAUAGUAUCUUAAGUUCUUAACAAGAGAUAAUCUGAAUCAUCUAUAGUGGUAGUUUGGUACAGGAAAAUUGACUAUCUUUUUUUGCAGUAGAGAAGAGUAAGGGGAUCAUAUGUUUUUUACGUGUUUCGUUGCUCGUUAUAUUUGGAACACUGCAUGGUGUGCUUUUUGUUUCAUACAGUUCUUGUUAGCAUGGAGGGACACCUGUGAUCGGGUAAUGAGUUUCACGGGUAAAGAUAGGAAUCUGGUUUCUGCUGGGGUAGCGGCAGUUAUUUGGUCUAUUUGGGAAAGAAACAAAGGAAUGAUGCAUGCUUCAGAAGUAUUUUCACCAUGGAUCCCAGCGGUUUAGUUGGUAAAGUUUUAUAGUUGAUGUUUAAUUGAUCUAGCUGAGAAGAAAGUGUUACUAUGGUUAAAAUUCAGAAAUACUAGCAUCUUAAGCAGAGGCAGUCUGAAUCUUAUAGGUAGUGUGGUACAGAGAAAUUGUCUUUCUUGCUGUAGAAAAGACUCGGUGCACAAUAUCUCCUUUUAAUUGUCCAGUUGCUCGUUAUAGUGUUUGGAAUAAUGUGCAGUGUGCCUUUUGUUUUGGUACAGUUCCUGUUAGUAUGGAGGGACUUUGUGAUUGAAUGAUAAAUUUCUGGUAGUGUAUCGACAGUUAUUUGUUUUUUUUUAAAAAGCGAGGAUAAUUGCUUGCUUCAGAAAUAUUUUCACUAUGGAUCCCAGCUAUGUAGUUAGUAAGGUUGCAUACUGGAUGUUUUGUCUAGCUACAGAGAAUUGACUUUCCCUCAAACAAAAAACAGAGAAUUGACUUGUGCAAUCUGCAGGUAGCAGUAGCAGGGACGCGCAGGUUACUGCUGGUGUCAUUGGAGAGAUGUUCCGGAAACGUCGGGGCGGUGCCGAUUUAUGCGAAGAAUUGAAGAUUGAAAAGUUUCGAGCUACGCUGGAAGUUAAUUGUGUGAUGAGCUUAUUUUAAAUGACAGUAGCUUGCAGAAAUUGGGAUUGUUUGGUUUUUGUAACAGACUAAGUAAAGGUGUUGGAGUGAGUUGAUCUCUUGCAAGGAUAGCUUGCUUUGAUUUGGCUGAAAGCCAUCGUUGUUGCUCUGUUUUGCAUGUUGUUACAUUACAUGGGAGGACCAGUCCAUGUCAUGCUGGUGUUUGUUUUUCUUCACACAUAUUUACUAAGUUGCAUACUGGACGUGUAUUAUCAUAUUUGUAAUGACUGAAAUUCAGGGCUUCAUUGUGGGAUUUGUUACUUGAGAAAAUAGUUACUAAGUAGUUCUACCAACGUGUCUCUCUAUGUUACAUACAAAAUGAAAAGGGUGCUUCCAGCUAAUGGAAAUACAGUAACUCUGAUUACUCGCUACUUUAUACCCGGUAUAUAAAAAAGACUGAACUUGUCCGUCUUGGCCGAGACUUCAUCCGUGCACUAAACUGCCUCUCUUUCUUCACCCAAAGGACAAGCCGUCGUUCGCCGUUGCUAUGGACCUCGCCGCCUCCAAAUAGGUGACUGCAGGCGCCGCCCUCAGCAUCGUGGUGUCAGGUGAGUCCGAGGCACAACCUGACUCUCGCUGUUGUCAUCUGUCUCCUUCCAUUACUUUCCUGUCAGUGGUGGUGUCUCAAGCACUGCACGGAAGGUGUUUGACAAAAUGACCAAGUAAGAUAAGAAUGGCCCUCGCUGUUGCCAUCCGUCUCCUUCCAUCAACCCUACUGUACAUUUCAGUGGUGACGGCUCAGUCACUGCACGGAAGGUGUUUGACGAAAUGACAAGGUAAGAUAAGAAUCGCUUUCACAGUACUACUAAGUACUACUAUCUGUGUUUUCCUUUCUCUCUGUAAUGUACCAACGUGAGUCUAACAUUUCAAAUGUGGUCUGUGACAGCACCGAGUCAGCUCCAUCUGCAUGGCGUGCAGAUUGUGCUGUGCCGAUUUGCUGGAGAACGACACCUCGGCCUGCUACAAGAAACAGAAGCUGCUUCCUGGAAGCACUCGGGUUACUUGACGAAAUGCACAGCAGAGAGAAGAAACCGCGGUCGAUCACAACGACGCCAUCUGCGUAACAUAUCGUAACAACUUGCUUGCCUUCACUUUCUUCAUAUAUUUCUGUCUGUAUAUUUCUGUCAAUAGAUUCAUGUGGUGUGGGGAUGCAUGUUUUGUAGCAUGUCUAGAUAAAGUUACCACCAUGACAUAUAUUUUACCACUAACUCUCAUGUUUUGGAUUCUUUUACCCAAAGGGGAUUCGAUGUACAUCUGGGCGUUGGAAAGUUGAUUAUUCAUGUCCAUUGACAUUGUUCCUUUUCAUCAGUCACGCCAUAUCUUGACCUUGUUCAGCUUUUUCAUAUGUUCCAUAAGUUGCAAAAUUACCCAACCUUGUCGGCAACAACUCCCGAAAUGACCUCCAACAUACAUUCGUCUGGCAGCCUCUCUGUCUUUACUGGGUCUUGAAGCUUAAACUUUCCAAUUAGAUGAAUCAAACAGGGUAGUCCAAUAGUUUUCACUGUGAGCGCGUUUACCCUUGUCUUGUUUACAUCAAAGUGUCUAUAACAACUUUAGUUUUGCAAUUUCCUUAGGAAUCAUUGUGAUAUUGGGCCCAAGGUUUAUCUCAGAUUUCAUAGCUUGCAUAUCUCUUUAAGAUGCCAAUCUUUCACAUCAAUGCACCCUUCCAGGUCCAACACCCGUGUAAGUUUGUAUUUGUUGAAGUUGGAAAUAGCGUCACCUGUAUUCCCCAUGACCGUCAGAGACUGGAGACGAGAUAAAUAUAUGUCAGGCACCGUUUCGGAAUUUGCACUGUUGCUACCAUGGAUAAAGAAGUGAUGAACUUUUUUGUGCUGAGCACCAGAGGGCAUGAUGAAUUUCUUAGACAUGGAUUUGUGCAAUAUGAACAUGUGCAUGAUACCAAUGAGCUUUGCACGUCUUCCCUGUGCCAUUGCUGAUUGGAGAAACAGGCAGAAUGAUACUCCGGCUCAUAAAUGUCUUGAAGUUAUCAUCAGCUACAGUUUGGUGCCUGCCUUGAUGAUGGUGUGCAUUUCCUUCAGCCAACCAUCGCCUGAUUAUGACAUUCUUCCUGAAGGGAUGAUCGAUUGGGAAUAUACCUAGAUACAGCAAGCAAGACCUGCCAGACCGGUGUAAUUUCCCCUAAGCACACCUCGAAGCAUUGCAAAGUUAGGCUUGUCGUCCUUGUGUACCAGAUAUGUACCUUGGUCAUUGGACAAUUUGUUGCAGAAUUUCCCCAUUGGUACAUUUUCACAACUUAAUUGGCAGGCCACACUAUACAGAGCAAGCAGAAGACUGCCACAUUUCUUCAGGAGUUUUGCCGCACCCAACCUGACUCCGGUGUACAUCUUCCCAAGAGAGCUACUUUUCGAGAAUCUUCUUCUCCAAGACAUCUCAUGUUGUACACAUGACCUAAGGUACAUCUAUCAUCUUCCUCAUGUUAAAAGAAGAACAAAACUUCAAUGUUUAGAUAUUGGUCUCUUUUUUGGCGUGUUGUUGAAGAUGCUCUUAGAGGAUUCAUUACAUUGCAUCGGACUACCAAAAGAUCAUACUAUUUCAUUGUAGUUUAGCGUCCGGCAACCAAAACAGACACUAGUUCAACACCGAAAAAGACAAUUCUACUACUAGUUAUAUAUACACGAAACUAAGGACAAGAUAGAAUUCACAUGCAUGGUGUGUUGCCCUUCCCAUUGUCGUCUCUGCAACUACUGCAGUACAUGGCGAAGACCACAUAGGGGUUGUUCGGGCAUCAGAGAAGGACGGGGUGUAGCGCAGCCCAACGAGAUGUCUGGCGUGCUUUGGCCGUGGACGCCUCUUUCUCAGUCGUCGGCCGCCUGGGCACCUCAAUUCCCUCUGGCAAUGCUUUCACGUUCUUACGAUGGCAGCGAUGGGCGUCUGUCUCGACGGAGGUUAUCUGGCACAGGACUUCCAGCGGACGACCUGGUCGUCAUUGAAGAAGGACGACAAACAGACAAUUAGAGUGGAGCCGCACAGGUUAGUUCGCUCUCCGGGUCUUCUCCCGAGCACGCCGAGCUGCCCGUGCCUCAGACUUAGGAGCCGCCGCUGGCUCGGAUGGCGUGGCACGAGCAGCUAUGGGUUACUGAGAGUGUGUGCCGAUGGUGACACGUCGAAGCUACACGAUCGACAUUGGUCCACAAGGGACAGUACAGAGUGCCUCCACCCGUAGCUGCCUCUGCGGCUGCAUUCACCCUGGCAAGCGGCCAAGGGGGGAGGGGGGUGCGGCGCGAAGCUCGAAGAGCCGCCCUUGUCCACCACGAGUGGCGGAGGGCGAGGUCCUCAUUGCAUGACAUCGAGCUCGAAUCCUCAGCUGCGAGCGCAUACCAAUCAGUUGGGUUGGCCUCGCUUGCUGAGCAGGCCAUACUAGAGCGGAGGGCGACAAGGAGGGGAGGGGAAGGGAGCGGAGUGGAGUGGUCGAGAGUGAGGACUAGGAUGUGGUAUAUGUGUGGUUCUUACUUGGCAGUCGUGUCUAGACCGCCUCAUAUUCACCCCAGAUAUGGCUAGGUUUGAAGGCUGCUGGACUUCCCUAACGUUUGGAUUGGCUAUGACGGGCAUGUUAGGUGGCUACUUUUGGUCAGGGUUGUUCGCUCGAACAUUUGAGGAGGAUUUGAGGGGUCUGGUUGUAAGUGCUCUUUCUGUAGUAGAAUAUAAGUAUAUUUUUGUUAUUUUGCUCUAUGAAGUUACCUCGGCAUCCAUGCGAAAAAUAUAUUCGAGGAGGUGGGACUAGUUAAGAGUCAUUUCAUUUUUCAACUACAAAAGGCAGGUACUAAAAGAAUAUAACUGGUUGGUGAUGAUUCCCUCUGAACGAAAUUGCUUGGUGAAGGGACUACUUAAAGAUCCGUUUCAAAAUUUGGAUUUUAUUGGCCACUAAUUUUACUAAUGCGGGUUUAAUCGCAUUUAUCAGUUAAUGAUGCUAGUAAGGGCAUCUCCAAUAGCUAUAAGAUGGAUGUCGGUAAAUUUGCCAUAUAAACAUCUUUUGAGGUGUCAAUUAAUAAAUAAAGAGAGAGUGAGUUUGUAUGGACAUGAACCAACAACUUGUGCACAAGGUCCAAGACAAAGAAAGAGUGCAAGCUUCCAUAUUCUCUCACCUCCUAUUUGUUAAUCUUACAGACAACCAUUGGAGUACUUGUAUGAUACGUACAUUGUUGGUUGAUGACAUGGUUAUAUUUACCAACAAAUUAACUCAUAAGUUGUUUGAGAUGCGCUAACAAGUUGUUGAUGGCAUGAAUGUAUUUACCACUGUUCAUUAGCUUUAUAAGUCGCGCACGCGCAAUUUGACAAGGAAAAUAUAUCUUUAAAUUUGUCUUCAGACGAAGUUUCUAACCAUAUAUUUUUCGGCAUAUUAUACAUAUUUUGUUAGUCCAAUCAAAGAUCUGAACCCCCGAUUUCAUAAACCCAACCAGUUUGGAACCGGUAAUAAUUGAGUUCCUCCAACCAGUUUGAGAUUGGGGCGCGUUUCUUUGGGUCUCGGGUGCCGAUGCAUCCGAGCUGAGAAAAAUAAUUUAGAAAUUGCAAAAAAAGUGAAAAAAAUCAUGAUUUCCUUAGAACAGACAUGAUAUUGCGUUACACUCAUGUGAAAAGAUUCACGAAUGAAUGACUUUCAUGUACUCUGGGCGAAAGAAACCAAAAUGGACACUAUAUAAAAGUUACUAUUUACGCUUUUAUACUCACAAAUUUCUCUUUUGCCCUGAAGUCAUUCUUUCGCGAAACUUUCUAUACGAAUAUAACACUAUAUCAAGUAUAUUUUCAAAAUUUUCUACAAUUUUGUGAUCUUUUUUGCAAUUUCUAAAUUAUUUUUUCAGUAAUGUGUUUGCCAGUUCUUAGAAUAUCGCUCGUAACAUAAAUUUUUGUAACCCGAUCAUCCUUCGUUCACCCCGUUUUAUGUAUGUUUCCCCUACGUCUACUAGUUUAGAAUUUUUUUGCUCCCACCUCUGGUGUUUUCCACCCGUUUUGAUAACCGGCUCAACAGCCCCAUAAAAUCUUGUUUUUUUGCAAGCAAUCACAUUAAUAAUAACAUGCCAGGUAAAUAACUGACUAACCUAUUAGAAGAUUUAUGCCCUCAUUGCAACGCAUGGGCAAUUAUCUAGUGUGACAAUAAAAAAGGAGAGAAUAUAAAGUCACAAAAACGUAGUAAGAAGUACCACAAACAAGGGAGAGGAGAAAAUAAUUUAAGGACAAACUACUAGUUGGCACUUUGUACACUAUAAAAUUAUCCAUUUAGUUGCACCUAAAGUAGAUAGUCUUGUACAAUCUAGAAAAUUUGUCAAGGUAUAUCCUAGAUUCAUACACUAUUUUUUUAUCAGUUUCCAGAUAUUGAUAAUGGUAAUAUAUUAAUAUCGAAAUGAUACUCGGUACAUUCAUCAUCCAAAUGACACAUAUAGAGAGUUAGCAAGACAUCAAGGAUGCAUAUGCUAUAUAAAUGCAAAAAAUCUGACAUGACUAAAAGGGCUUUGUAACGAUAAUAUUGGAUAGGAAAAAAAUAUGUAUCUAAAUAAACAUUGGCAUGUACUAUCUUUUAUAUCAAAAUAAUUUAUCAAUAAUUUUUUUCAAUUUAACCACAAGAUGAUUUACGACUAAAUAAAGAAGUUCAAUAUAAAAUAGGUGAUAAUUCAAUGCACCAAACAUAUUGACCAUAUUUGAGCAUAAUAUUUCAAAAGGAUGUUUUAUCUGCUUUUUACGUUGCUCUUCCUUAUGAGUUUUGUUAUGAUUUUUAUUUGAAAAUAGACCCACAAAAUUUAGUAAAGUAUCAAAGGGGAGCAAUUAAGCAAGGGCAAGGGGCAGUGUUGGGUUUAAUAUCAAAACUGGUAAAAUAUUAACAGGUUUAGGCAUUAGUAAUAAUUACAUUAUGUCUUCAUAUCUGUCUGCAUAUCUUACCAUCUGAAGAAAAUAUGCUUAGAUGUAUGGGGACAGCUUAUAUUUCCUUUGAACAAACGGCUAUCUCCGUCUUCACUUCAGCUGCAACGAUAGAAAUGUCACCAUGAGCCGAGUAUCAUCACGAUAAACUAGAAUAAAAUGAAUAAAAAUAGCACUUGACAGAAUUUCAGGGAAAUAGAUUUGUGGAAUUACCAAAACACGUGUAUUUUUUACUUUCCUCAUCAUGUAAAAACCCAGCAUACUCUUAAAUUCCAUCAAUUUUAUGAAGCUGCACUAUCAGGGGAGGCGCGUGACAAUGCCCUUGGGUAGGAAAUCUUUUCCAACAAGGCACUCCAGCACUAAAGAUUUGUCGGCACCCUGCCAUAUAAUCAGAAGUUUCAAAUGUUAGGACAAAUACUAGGUACUCAAAAAACAGACAGAAUUGUGUGGUUCUUUUAGGCAAUCAGACCGUCACACUAUCCUAAUAUCUCUACGGGGAACUAAACUAAACUAACAGAUUCAAACAAACCAUUAACAGCCAGCAUAGCAUCCCAUGCCUCUAGUUUAUCCUAAAUACCAGAUCCAGAUGCAACAAUAGAUCUCUAGGACCUCUAGGCACGAGAUUUAGAUGCAACGACAAUUCCCCUAGGCGAGAUCCAAGCAUAUAACUGUGCGUCUCUGGAACUAAACUCUAUUGGUUCUCAGUCAGGAUCACAUGAUGACGACGAUGAACGCACACACGCGAGAGAGUCACACGUGAACACACAGGAACGAGAGUAUUUUUGCGACGCACUGAUUCAGCGUCUUUUCUGUUUCUUUCCUUUAUUCGUUUGGAAAUAGACUAAGAGCAUCUCUAGCAGACCCGUAUAAUGCCUCGACCCGUAAAAUAACCACCAAAAUACGGGUCCGCACAGAAAAUGUUGCCCGAUCAGACCCCGCAAACGCGUCGGAGCCGUAAAUUUUUUUGCAGGGCGCGACAUAAUUCCCACCCCAACCAGCGAAAAUGCGGGUUCUCUACCUCGCCCCAUCGGUGCCCUGUAUAUAGCGGUUAGCGGGGGGGGGGGGCAUUUCAGCCCGCGCUUUUCCCCACCCAUUGCCGCCCCUCUCCCUGAUACGUCUCCAACAUAUCUAUAAUUUUUGAUUGUUCCAUGCUAUUAUUUUACCCCUUUUGGAUGUUUAUGGGCUUUAUUUUACACAUUUAUAUUAUUUUUGGGACUAACCUAUUAACCGGAGGCCCAGCCCAUAUUACUGUUUUAUUGCCUGUUUCAGUAUUUCGAAGAAAAGGAAUAUCAAACGGAGUCCAAACGGAAUGAAACCUUUGGCAGCGUGAUUUUUGGGAAGAAUAUGAUCCGGGAGACUUGGAGUUCACGUCAGAAGAUCCUCGAGGUGGCCAAGAGGGUGGAGGCCCCCCCCCUACUGGGCGUGCCCCCUACCUCCUGGGCCCCUCGAGGCUCCCCCGACCGACUUCUUUCGCCUAUAUAGUCCCACGUACCCUAAAAACAUCCACGGAGAAGAUAGAUUGGGAGUUCCGCCGCCGCAAGCCUCUGUAGCCACCAAAAACCUCUCGGGAGCCCGUUCCGGCACCCUGCCGAAGGGGGAACCCAUCACCGGUGGCCAUCUUCAUCAUCCCGGCGCUCUUCAUGACGAGGAGGGAGUAGUUCACCCUCGGGGCUGAGGGUAUGUACCAGUAGCUAUGUGUUUGAUCUCUCUCUCUCUCUCUCUCACUCUCACUCUCUCUCGUGUUCUCGACUUCACACGAUCUUGAUGUAUCGCGAGCUUUGCUAUUAUAGUUGGAUCUUAUGAUGUUUCUCCCCCUCUACUCUCUUGUGAUGAAUUGAGUUUCCCUCUUGAAGUUAUCUUAUCGGAUUGAGUCUUUAAGGAUUUGAGAACACUUUAUGUAUGUCUUGCCGUGUUUAUCUGUGGUGACAAUGGGAUAUCACGUGCCACUUGAUGUAUGUUUUGGUGACCAACUUGCGGGUUUCGCCCAUGAACCUAUGCAUAGGGGUUGGCACACGUUUUCUUAACUCUCCGGUAGAAACUUUGGGGCACUCUUUGAAGUACUUUGUGUUGGUUGGAUGAAUCUGAGAUUGUGUGAUGCAUAUCGUAUAAUCAUGCCCACGGAUACUUGAGGUGACAGUGGAGUAUCUAGGUGACAUUAGGGUUUUGGUUGAUUUGUGUCUUAAGGUGUUAUUCUAGUAUGAACUCUAUGAUAGAUUGAGCGGAAAGAAUAGCUUCAUGUUAUUUUACUACGAACUCUUGAAUAGAUAGAACAGAAAGAAUAACUUUGAGGUGGUUUCAUACCCUACCAUAAUCUCUUCGUUUGUUCUCCGCUAUUAGUGGCUUUGGAGUGACUCUUUGUUGCAUGUUGAGGGAUUGUUAUAUGAUCUAUCUAUGUUAUUAUUGUUGAGAGAACUUGCAGUAGUGAAAGCAUGAACCCUAGGCCUUGUUUCCUAUCAUUGCAAUACCGUUUACGCUCACUUUUAUUAUUAGUUACCUUGCUGUUUUUAUAUUUUCAGAUUACAAAUACUCAUAUCUACCAUCCAUAUUGCACUUGUAUCAUCAUCUCUUCGCCGAACUAGUGCACCUAUACAAUUUGCCAUUGUAUCGAGUGUGUUGGGGACACAAGAGACUCUUUGUUAUUUGGUUGCAGGGUUGCUUGAGAGAGACCAUUUUCAUCCUACGCCUCCCAUGGAUUGAUAAACCUUAGGUCAUCCACUUGAGUGAAAUUUGCUACUCUCCUACAAACCUGUGCACUUGCAGGCCCAACAACGUCUACAAGAAGAAGGUUGUGUAGUAGACAUCAAGCUCUUUUCUGGCGCCGUUGCCGGGGAGGUGAGUGCUUGAAGGUAUAUCUUUAGAUCUUGCAAUCGAAUCUUUUUGUUUCUUGUUUUAUCACUAGUUUAGUUUAUAAAAGAAAACUACAAAAAAAUGGAAUUGAGUUUGUCUCGUACGCUUCAUCUUUUUAAUAUCUUUCGUAAGUAUGAUGAAAAGGAAAAUUGUGCUCAAGUGCUAGAAGAAGAAUUACAUAGAAUGCUUGGCAUAAAAUAUGUGAAUGAUGAGCAUGAUUGCAAUGUUGUUAGUAUGAAUUCUAUGAAUAUCCAUGAUGCUAAUGAUAUGCAAAGCCACAAGCUUGGGGAUGCUAUGUUUGAUGAAGAUGAUGUUUUUUGUCCCCCCAAGUUUUGAUGAGCAAAUUUACUAUGAUGAAAGCAUGCCCCCUAUCUAUGAUGAUUAUUGUGAUGACAUCUAUGCUAUACAGAAAAAUGAUAACCAUGAAACUUGUCAUCUUGAUCUUAAUUUUCAAUCACAUGAUAGUUGCUUUGUUGAGUUUGCUCCCACUAUUAUACAUGAGAAGAAUUUUGCUUAUGUGAAGAGUAGUAAAUUUUCUAUGCAAGUAGAUCAUGAAAAGAAUGUUUUAGGUACUGGUUAUAUUGUUGAAUUCAUUCAUGAUGCUACUAAACAUUAUUAUGAGGGAGGAAUCUAUCCUUGUAGGAAUUGCAAUAAUGUCAAGUUUCCUCUCUAUGUGCUGAAAAUUUUGAAGUUAUGCUUGUUUUGCCUUCCUAUGCUAGUUGAUUAUUGUUCCCAUAAGUUGUUUGCUCACAAAAUCCCUAUGCAUAGGAAGUGGCUUAAAUGUGCUAGUCAGAAGCUUCAUGAUGCUCCCGUUAUGUUUCAAUUUCUAUCUUUUAUGUGAGCAUCAUUUUCAUCAUCAUGCCUAGCUAGGGGCGUUAAACGAUAGCGCUUGUUGGGAGGCAACCCAAUUUUAUUUUAGUUUCUUGCUUUUUGGUUCUGUUUAGUAAUAAAUAAUCCAUCUAGUUUUUGUUUAGAUGUGGUUUUGUGUUUUAAUUCGUGUUUGUGCCAAGUAAAACCUUUCGGAAGACUUGGGUGAAGUCUUUAUGAUCAUGCUGUAAAAAACAGAAACUUUAGCGCUCACGAGAUUAGCUUCCACUUUUUACUGGAGAGUGCUAUUUAGUUGAUUCUUUUUGCAGAUGAUUACUAGACAAAUUCCUCAGGUCCACCAAUUUAUUUAAAUUUUUGGAGUUACAGAAGUUUGCGUUAGUUACAGAUUACUACAGACUGUUCUGUUUUUGACAGAAUCUGUUUUUCGUGUGUUGUUUGCUUAUUUUGAUGCAUCUAUGGCUAGUAAAAUAGUUUAUAAACCAUAGAGAAGUUGUAAUACAGUAGGUUUAACACCAAUAUAAAUAAAGAAUUAGUUCAUUACAGUACCUAAUGUGGUGGUUUUGCUUUCUUUCGCUAACGGAGCUUACGAGUUUUCUGUUGAGUUUUGUGUUGUGAAGUUUUCAAGUUUUGGGUAAAGAUUCAAUGGACUAUGGAAUAAGGAGUGGCAAGAGCCUAAGCUUGGGGAUGCCCAAGGCACCCCAAGGUAAUAUUCAAGGACAACCAAGAUCCUAAGCAUGGGGAUGCCCCGGUAGGCAUCCCACCUUUCUUCUUCGACAACUAUCGGUUAGUAUCGGUUGAGCCUAAGUUUUUGCUUCUUCACAUGCGUCGUGCUAUCCUUGCAAUGUCAUUUUGUUUUGCUUUGCUUGCUGAUUGAAUAAAAUACCAAGAUCUGCAAUUCUUAAAUGUUAGAGAGUCUUCGGAUAGUUGCACAAUUACUCGACUACUCAUUGAUCUUCACUUAUAUCUUUCGGAGUAGUUUGUCUUUUGCUCUAGUGCUUCACUUAUAUCUUUUAGAGCACGGUGGUGGUUAUAUUUUGAAGAAAUUGUUGAUCUCUCAUGCUUCACUUAUAUUAUUUUGAGAGUCUUUUAGAACAGCAUGGUAUUUGCUUUGGUUAUAAAUUUGGUCCUAGAAUGAUGAGCAUCCAAGUUGGGUAUAAUAAAAAACUAUCAUAGAAAGUGAAUUGGAUGCUAUGAUCAAUUUGAUGCUUGAUAAUUGUUUUGAGAUAUGGAGGUAGUGAUAUUAGAGUCAUGCUAGUUGGGUGAUUAUGAAUUUAAAGAAUACUUGUGUUGAAGUUUGUGAUUCCCGUAGCAUGCACGUAUGGUGAACCACUUUGUGAUGAAGUCGGAGCACGAUUUAUUUAUUGAUUGUCUUCCUUAUGAGUGGCGGUCGGGGACGAGCGAUGGUAUUUUCCUACCAAUCUAUCCCCCUAGGAGCAUGCGCGUAGUACUUUGUUUUUGAUGACUUCUAGAUUUUUGCAAUAAGUAUAUGAGUUCUUUUGACUAAUGUUGAGUCCAUGGAUUGUACGCACUCUCACCCUUCCACCAUUGCUAGCCUCUCUUGUUCCGCGCAACUUUCGUCGGUACCAUACACCUACCAUAUACCUUCCUGAAAACAGCCACCAUACCUACCUAUCAUGGCAUUUCCAUAGCCAUUCCGAGAUAUAUUGCCAUGCAACUUUCCACCGUUCCGUUCAUAUGACACGCAUUACUUUUGUCAUAUUGCUCUUUGCAUGAUCAUGUAGUUGACAUUAUAUUUGUGGCAAGGCCACUUUCAUAAUUUUCAUACAUGUCGCUCUUGAUUCAUUGCAUAUCCCGGUACACCGCCGGAGGCAUUCAUAUAGAGUCAUAUCUUGUUUUAGAUUUGAGUUGUAACUCUUGAGUUGUAAAUCCAUAAAAGUGUGACGAUCUUCAUUAUUAGAGCAUUAUCCUAGUGAGGAAAGGAUGAUGAAGACUAUGAUUCCCCCACAAGUCGGGAUGAGACUUCGUACUUUAAAAGGAAAAAAAAAGAGGAAAAAAAAGAAGAGAAAGGCCAAAGAAAAAAAAAGAAAAAAAGAAAAAAAAGAAAAAAAUAAAAAUGAGAGAAAAAGAGAGAAGGGACAAUGCUACUAUCUCUUUUUCCACACUUGUGCUUCAAAGUAGCACCAUGAUCUUCAUGAUAGAGAGUCUCAUAUGUUAUCACUUUCAUAUAUUAGUGGGAAUUUUUCAUUAUAGAACUCGGCUUGUAUAUUCCAAUGAUGGGCUUCCUCAAAUUGCCCUAGGUCUUCGUGAGCAAGCGAGUUGGAUGCACACCCACUUAGUUUCUUUUGUUGAGAUUUCAUAUAUUUAUAGCUCUAGUGCAUCCGUUGCAUGGCAAUCCCUACUCACUCACAUUGAUAUCUAUUAAUGGGCAUCUCCAUAGCCCGUUGAUAUGCCUAGUUGAUGUGAGACUAUCUUCUUCCUUUUUGUCUUCCCCACAACUACCAUUCUACUCCACAUAUAGUGCUAUGUCCAUGGUUCAUGCUCAUGUAUUGCGUGAAAGUUGAAAGAGUCUGAGAUUAUUAAAGUAUGAAACAAUUGCUUGGCUUGUCAUCGGGGUUGUGCAUGAUUAAAUACUUUGUGUGAUGAAGAUAGAGCUUAGCCAGACUAUAUGAUUUUGUAGGGAUAACUUUCUUUGGCCAUGUUAUUUUGAGAAGACAUGAUUACUUUGAUUAGUAUGCUUGAAGUAUUACUAUUUUUAUGUCAAUAUGAACUUUUAUUUUGAAUCAUUUGGAUCUGAACAUUCAUGCCACAAUAAAAAAAUUACAUUGAGAAUUAUGCUAGGUAGCAUUCCACAUCAAAAAUUCUGUUUUUAUCAUUUACCUACUCGAGGACGAGCAGGAAUUAAGAUUGGGGAUGCUUGAUACGUCUCCAACGUAUCUAUAAUUUUGAUUGUUCCAUGCUAUUAUAUUACCCCUUUUGGAUGUUUAUGGGCUUUAUUUUACACAUUUAUAUUAUUUUUGGGACUAACCUAUUAACCGGAGGCCCAGCCCAUAUUACUGUUUUAUUGCCUGUUUCAGUAUUUCGAAGAAAAGGAAUAUCAAACGGAAUCCAAACGGAAUGAAACCUUUGGCAGCGUGAUUUUUGGGAAGAAUAUGAUCCGGGAGACAUGGAGUUCACGUCAGAAGAUCCUCGAGGAGGCCAGGAGGGUGGAGGGCCCCCCUACUGGGCGCGCCCCCUACCUCCUGGGCCCCUCGAGGCUCCCCCGACCGACUUCUUUCGCCUAAAUAGUCCCACAUACCCUAAAAACAUCCACGGAGAAGAUAGAUUGGGAGUUCCGCCGCCGCAAGCCUUUGUAGCCACCAAAAACCUCUCGGGAGCCCGUUCCAGCACCCUGCCGGAGGGGGAACCCAUCACCGGUGGCCAUCUUCAUGAUCCCGGCGCUCUCCAUGACAAGGAGGGAGUAGUUCACCCUCGGGGCUGAGGGUAUGUACCAGUAGCUAUGUGUUUGAUCUCUCUCUCUCUCUCUCGUGUUAUCGACUUCACACGAUCUUGAUGUAUCGCGAGAUUUGCUAUUAUAGUUGGAUCUUAUGAUGUUUCUCCCCCUCUACUCUCUUGUGAUGAAUUGAGUUUCCCUCUUGAAGUUAUCUUAUCGGACUGAGUCUUUAUGGAUUUGAGAACACUUGAUGUAUGUCUUGUCGUGUUUAUCUGUGGUGACAAUGGGAUAUCACGUGCCACUUGAUGUAUGUUUUGGUGACCAACUUGCGGGUUCCGCCCAUGAACCUAUGCAUAGGGGUUGGCACACGUUUUCUUAACUCUCCGGUAGAAACUUUGGGGCACUCUUUGAAGUACUUUGUGUUGGUUGGAUGAAUCUGAGAUUGUGUGAUGCAUAUCGUAUAGUCAUGCCCACGGAUACUUGAGGUUACAAUGGAGUAUCUAGGUGACAUUAGGGUUUUGGUUGAUUUGUGUCUUAAGGUGUUAUUCUAGUAUGAACUCUGUGAUAGAUUGAGCGGAAAGAAUAGCUUCAUGUUAUUUUAGUACGAACUCUUGAAUAGAUAGAACAGAAAGAAUAACUUUGAGGUGGUUUCAUACCCUACCAUAAUCUCUUCGUUUGUUCUCCGCUAUUAGUGGCUUUGGAGUGACUCUUUGUUGCAUGUUGAGGGAUUGUUAUAUGAUCUAUCUAUGUUAUUAUUGUUGAGAGAAUUUGCAGUAGUGAAAGUAUGAACCCUAGGCCUUGUUUCCUAUCAUUGCAAUACCGUUUACGCUCACUUUUAUUAUUAGUUACCUUGCUGUUUUUAUAUUUUCAGAUUACAAAUACUCAUAUCUACCAUCCAUAUUGCACUUGUAUCACCAUCUCUUCGUUGAACUAGUGCACCUAUACAAUUUGCCAUUGUAUCGGGUGUGUUGGGGACACAAGAGACUCUUUGUUAUUUAGUUGCAGGGUUGCUUGAGAGCGACCAUCUUCAUCCUACGCCUUCCACGGAUUGAUAAACCUUAGGUCAUCCACUUGAGGGAAAUUUGCUAUUGUCCUACAAACCUGUGCACUUGCAGGCCCAACAACGUCUACAAGAAGAAGGUUGUGUAGUAGACAUCACCCUCGCCCCACGCAUUUUCCCACCCACCACCGCCGGGCUGCCGCCUACGAUUCCGGCCAUACCAGCCGUCGGACCGCCACACGUCAGAGAUUGUCUACCGCCACUUCCCCCUGCCUCGGCCGGCCGGAAAGUUGCAGAUCGGCGGUUGUUUAUCGCAGCCGCCGGAUUUGGCAUUUCAAGCCACCAGUGGCCGCGUCAAGCCAUGGAUUGGUCGGGAAGCACCCUGACCAGCCCUGGCAAAGCCCUAGUGCCACAUGCAGGUACUGGUUCGUCCUCUAGCCGCCGCCGUCGGUUUGCCUGCAAGGACUCGGCCGGCCGUCGCCCGGGCUCUGCGCUCGCGCAGCACCUCGCCGACUCGCUGAUGCCGCUCAUACAGCGCGACAACUGCACGCAGACAGUGCUGCGGCUAACAUCUAGCAUGCCAAAACACCCCGGAUGGAUAUUCUUCAAAUGCGAAAACGACGUGGUAUGUUCUUGUUUUCAUUCAGCUUUUUCACCCUAUUCGGUUCAAUUUCGAUAGCUUAUUGAGAUGGACAUGUGUGUAGGAAGGUGUAUGCUCAUUUUGGUUUUGGAAAGAAGAAUACAUUGAUUUAUUGUUGGAAUGAAACUUAAUAGAUGUUUGUGCACUCGUUGAUAGAAAGGCUAAUGAUGCAGCUGCAUGUGCAAUUAGAGAAGAAACUAGAGGGGAAGCAACGUCUACUUCUUUAGAAUCAAAGAAGAAGAAUGAAGAAUGCAAGAUUAAGAAUCCGCAGUUCAACAAUGAAGGCAUGGAGAAGAUAUUGGUCCAACUAGUGAGAUCAGUUAUGGAAGUUGGAUAUCUUCUAAAAUGCCUAGUUGUGGUUCUUGUUUUCUUUGGUCUUACUAUUCUAGCAAAGAUUUGAUGAAUUACUAUGUAUCUAAUGCUAUUGAAGAAAAUAGAAAAGCAAAGAAAUAUGUUUUCAUAACUGAAAUUGAAAUGCAAAUUACUGAUUUAUAGGCCGGUGCGGACGGCGGUCGAGCAGACCCGUCCGGUUUGCGGGAUCAGCUCGGCCUUCACCCUCGCCAGCCCGCAAAGCCGGUUUUCGGGAACUGUAUACAUAUUUUACGGGUCGAUGUUUUACGGGGUCUGCUAGAGAUGCUCUAAGAGAAGUGGACCGAAUCCUACGCCACGAUCCCUUUCAAUCGUGCCAUCCCACGAUCUGGUUCUUGUUCGGUCUAACUAGACGCACCACACAUGAACAAGCACAUGUCAGGUUCUCUUAUUUGCUACGUAUAGGAUGUAAAACAGACUAAUGGGCAUGCACGUACACAACAUGGUUACGUGCACAAGAUUUCAACUCGAAUAAAUCUUCUUGAUUUGCAUCAACAAACUCGCGAGAUCCAACCGCAACGGGGGUGUUGGGGCACGCACCUCGACUCCAACGACGGCGACUGAAGGCAGCGCGUCCCAGUCCCAGUCGGCGGGGAGGGCGCUCUUCUCGCCCUCUUCGGCGAGGGCGGUGCAUGCCCGCUGCAGCUUGUCAACGAGGGAUGCGAGACCCUUCCUGGGUGGCGGCGCGAGUUCUGGCCGGACCAGGUCGUCGUGCGGAGGGGUAGGCAUGUUCGUCGGCGCGGGAUCGUGGUAGGGAGGAGACUGCGUAGGGCUAGGGCUAGGCCGGUGUCCAGACCAUCGGGUCGAGGUUGCGUUUCCGGCGUACACCACCAUCAGGCCGGGCCGGCCCUAGCACGAAUAGUGCAAAUUCGUGUCUGGCACGGCAUUUGCCGCCCGUUGCGGCGCUUGCCCCAGACCCCCGUUGACGCAAGGGGUCGGCCCAUUUGCAGCUUUUUCAAUUUUUCUAUUUCUGUUUUGUGUUCGGUUUCCUUUUCCUUUUUUCUUUCAUUUUUAUUUUUAUUUUCGUUUAUCCCACUUGUGUAUGGUUUCAGAAAAAAAAUAAACUCAAAAAAAAUUCUGAAUAAAAAAUGUUUAAAUUUGAUAAUUAUUCAAGUUAAAAGCAUGUUCAUAUUUUUUAAAAAAAUGUUAAUUUAAAACAGUUUAAAUUUUGAAAAAGUUCAGAUUUUGAAACUAUAAAAUAAAAAAUCACAUUGUAAAAAACUGGAACAAAUUGUAGCGGGAAAUGUUAGUAUACCGGCCGAGUGGAUGGUCGCUAAAAAGAACUGAGGAUGUAGAUGAAGGAGCGAAGGGGGAACUAAAUGGGACAAGCCCAUCGUGGUCUCCUUCAUGUGACACGUGCGCAGUGCACCGCUGAAUGCAGCAUAUUGGAGCUCCCGGCUGCCCACAUGCCGAAAAGAAAAAAACACGGGCCGGUAUGAAAUGACACGACCACGGAGGAGGCCAUUUUGGCAUGUCGGGUCGAUUGGCCCUUCGUUUUGGCCUUUUAAAAUAAAAAAUUCAGGAAAAUUGCCAAAAAUAUAAAAUUCAAGAAAUAGGGGUCAAGUGUCAUGUGCGGUAAACAGUGAGCUUUAGUAGGGCACGUACAACAUUGGGUGUUUAACCAGGCGGUAGUGUAAUAUUCUCAGCCAUUAGCCUUUCGAGGUGCGGGGAACCACGAGACCGCACAUCGCUACAGUUAGACUGACCGCACUAGUAAGCCAUGGAGCGUAAUAUUGGGAAUUGUAUUUGUUAUCCUUGAGAUUAAUAAAAUAUUGUCCCCGUCCCCUUUGUUUUCUUUGUGUACCAUGAUACACUCGCACGCCGCAUUAUCUUUUUCCUAGCGCAUGGUAGAAAUCAAACUACUUUUCUUCCAUUCUCACGCAGUGCGAUAUAGAUUUUUCUCGUGUCAAACAAGAAGUAAAAAUUGUUGUGUCCCACUUGUGUGCCUCUCAAACAAAUGGGGAACGUCGGGCAACAAAUGGGUCUUGGGGGUUGAUUUGGUGAAUGCCCUAAGCUCGUGGGGACAACACUGCGCUUUAGAUGUGUCCAUGAUCAAAAUAGCAGACUAUGUUGGGGAUGUGUUUCUUAAACAGGUUUAUGAGAAAUUUAAAUUUAUGAAUGCAAGUUUUGGAUAUAAUCUCAAAAUACUUAUUCCAUUGGCAAAAAGCAUGACUCCCUUAAGAUUUUUUCAUUUCCAUGUUGAUGCGCAAAUUUGAAUUUUUUUUCAUUCCCAUGUUGAUGCGCAAAUUUGAAUCACACAAGACUGUUGAUGUGCAAAUUUGAAUUACACAAGAGUAUGGACAGUUCAUCGCCACCAUUUUAGCUCAGUUACUUUCUUUGAGCCUACCCUCCUACUCUGCCCUAAAAUUACCACUGUGCACAGCCAAACAUAUUUAGUGCAUAAGAAAUGCAUAUUAAAUAGUCUAAUGCAAGAUAUUUUUAAAAAUUGUUGAACAUUUAUUUGAUAUGCAUAGCUACACAUGCUCUUACAAUUUGAGCUACGACCAAACUUAUUUGCAAGGUUCUAAAACCAAGCAAUAAACAGUAACAAAUUGUCAUAAGAAUUAAUCAAACUUUAUCAGUGAUAAACCUAGCAUUACAGCACACCACAGUAUACCUCAGAUCCUACAUAUAUGAGUUAUGCUAGGCAGUAAAUACAAAAUACCAUGAACCUUGGUGAGAGAAAAAACUUGCAAGAACAGAAACUAACUCAUGCAUAUCAUCAUCCUGGAUUAGAAUACAGACGACACACUCCAUUAAUACAAGGAACUAACUGUUCAACAGUUCAGCAAAGCUGAUACUAAUAACUUCAGCUUAAACUGCGGAAAAGAGUUUUAUCUUACAACAACAACAGCAACAGCAAGCCAUCAUCAUGGUUUGUUUGCUUCUAUCGACACGAGACGACACACAACAGGAUAACUAACAAAGUAGUCGCAGCGGCUCUCAACUCGGACAUUUUUACGACAGUAACAGCUUUCUCACUCUCUUCUCUUCUCUAGUGCUAAAUUUGUACAGUGAGCAGAGUAACAUGUUCAAACAUACUCCACCCUCUUCCUCCUAUUUACAGCUUAGUCUCUCAGAUUAGUCUUUGCCUCCUCAGCUACAGAAUGUACACUCUCUCCAGUGCAACCAAGAUUUGUAUCUUAUUCAUGCCCGUACCAUUACUAGUCGAUCUUAUAGGGUUUUUGGUUGUUGUUGGGGGGGAACACG